GCGCCCUACCCCAGAGACCAGAGCUAGCAGUACCCCGUCGACAUAGCUUAGGGGUUAAAGAAAUGAAAAGAACACAAUGUAACAUGAUGUAUUAAAGAUAUAAAUGUUGUAAUAAUUUAGAUUGCAUUUGGAUGNCGUAGAUAGCGCCCUACCCCAGAGACCAGAGCUAGCAGUACCCCGUCGACAUAGCUUAGGGGUUAAAGAAAUGAAAAGAACACAAUGUAACAUGAUGUAUUAAAGAUAUAAAUGUUGUAAUAAUUUAGAUUGCAUUUGGAUGAAAAAGGAAUGGUAGUUGAGGUGUAAAAUGCAUGAAUAUGAAUGAAUGUAAUAAUAUAGGAUGUGUUUAUGUUGUUUGAUACCUUCCAUUAUGCAAUCUUGAUUGAAAUGUGUUCCUGGUUGGAACUUCGUACAUUGUAUUGAUUGCUAUGCCUUGAACGUACAGGGGAGACUCUGUCCGCAGUACAGGGAAAACCCUGUCCGUUCGGCGAUCUGUUGGCGGCGCCGCGACCCGGCCAAAUAGGCGGGCGGUCGCGGGGCGUGACACAAGGGCAGCCCCCGAGCGGGCGCAUGUACGCGGCCCAGACUGAGGAGGCGGGAGCAGCCGAGAAUGUGGUCGCAGGUAUCAUUUUACUUUAUGGUAUUCGAGUACGAGCAUUAUUUGAUAUCGGUGCAUCGCAUUCAUUCAUAAACCGGCUAUUUGCCGAGUUGCAUGGCAUCCCACUGACAUCUUUGUUGCAUCCGAGACGAGUUGUAGUACCCGAUCACUCUUUGGAUAUUCGAGAGUUUUGCCUCUGUUGCCCUAUUCGGGUUAGAGAUUGGGUCAUGCCCGUGGACUUGCUAGCUUUGCAUAAACUCAGAGAGUUUGAUGUUGUUUUCGGCAUGGAUUGGUUGACCAAGUACCACGCCACCAUCGAUUGCAAGAAUCGAACUAUAACGUUUAGAGAGCCGGGGCAGACGGAGGUUGUGUACCGAGGAUGCCAGAGUUCGCUACUUGCGAUGACGAUUAGCUCCUCUCGAGCUAAACAGUUGAUCAGCAGAGGCUGCGUAGCCUAUUUGGCUACCGUUGUGUCGCGGGGUGAUGUCGACACCCCUAGGAUUGAGGACAUCCCCGUCGAGCGGGAGUUUGGAGAUGUGUUUCCAGCGGAGCUACCAGGUAUGCCACCUGAUAGAGAGAUUGAGUUUGUGGUAGAUCUCGUCCCCGGGACUACUCUAAUCUCAAAAGCGCCCUAUAGGAUGGCACCAGCGGAACUGAAGGAGCUGAAGGCACAGUUGCAAGAUCUACUGGAUAAGGGUUUUGUGCGACCGAGUGUUUCAACUUGGGAAGCACCGGUCCUAUUUGUCAAGAAGAAGGAUGGAUCGCUUCGCUUGCGCGUGGAUUAUUGUGAACUCAAUAAAGUCACGAUCAAGAAUAAGUAUCCUUUACCGAGGAUUGAUGAUUUAUUUGAUCAGCUCCAGGGAUCUAGGGUGUAUUCUAAGAUCGACUUGCAGUCGGGAUACCACCAGUUGAAGAUCAAGCUUGAGGAUGUGUCGAAAACGGCUUUUAGAACACAGUAUGGACAUUAUGAGUUUACAGUUAUGCCGUUUGGGCUUACUAACGCCCCGGCCGCUUUUAUGGAUUUGAUGAGCAGUGUUUUCAAGCCUUAUCUAGACAGGUUCGUCGUAGUAUUCAUCGAUGACAUUUUGGUCUAUUCCUGAAGUGAUGCGGAUCACGAGGAACACUUGAGACUUGUACUUCAAGUACUUUGGAAAAAGGAGCUCUAUGCCAAAUUGAAAAAGUAUGAGCUUUGGCUUAGAGAGGUGGCGUUUUUGGGCCAUUUGAUUUUAGGAUCAGGUAUAGCUGUGGAUCCUAGGAAGAUUGAAGCUAUCAAGGACUAGCCGAGGCCGACGAGUGUCACCGAGAUUCGGAGUUUUCUUGGCUUAGCCGGCUACUACCGAGGGUUUGUUGAGGGAUUUGCAAAGUUAUCCACUCCCCUCACGAGUCUCACGCAUAAAGGCACCAAGUUUGUUUGGAAUGAUGUGUGCGAAAGGAGCUUCCAAGAGUUGAAGCAGAGAUUCACGACCUCCCCGAUUCUAACAUUGCCAAUUGCUGAGCAGGGUAUGUGAUUUAUAUUGAUGCUUCCUUUAAUGGAUUGGGCUGUGUCUUGAUGUAGGACGGGAAAGUGAUCGCGUAUGCUUCUAGCCAACUGAAGGAUUAUGAAAGAAAUUACCCUACUCACGAUUUGGAGUUGGCGGCCGUGGUCUUUGCAUUGAAGCUAUGGCGCCAUUACUUGUACGGCGAGCGAUGCGAAGUAUAUAUGGAUCACAAGAGUUUAAAGUAUUUAUUUACUCAGAAGGAGCUGAAUUUGAGGCAGCGCAGAUGGUUGGAGCUACUCAAGGAUUAUGACUUGACUAUACUUUACCACCGGAGCAAGGCUAACGUGGUGGCGGAUACGCUAAGUAGAAAAUCGACGGAAAACUUAGCGAUGCUUGUGGUCACUCAACCGCCGUUUAUCGAGCAGAUGAAGCGGUUGGAGUUGGAGGUGGUGGCUCCUGAUACACCUUUGAGACUGAUGACUUUGGUGGUGCAACCUAUACUUGUAGAAAGGAUUAAAGAAAAGCAAGUCUCCGAUGUGGAAUUGCAAAGGAUUCGAGCUAGGAUGAUUAAUGGUUGCACCGGUGACUUUUCUGUGGACGGUGUUGGAUUGAUGCGUUUCUAUGGACGGAUCUGUGUACCGGCGAAAUCGGCAAUUAGAGAAGAAAUUCUUCAAGAAGCACACCGUGCACCCUACGCUAUACAUCCGGGAAGCACCAAGAUGUAUAAGGACUUAAAGUUGCUUUAUUGGUGGCUCGGGAUGAAAAAGGACGUUGGUGAGUUUGUUGCUAGAUGUUUAACUUGCCAACAGGUGAAAGUUGAGCACUGAGUUCCCGCGAAAAAAUUGCAGAGCUUAUCGAUUCCAGUGUGGAAGUGGGAGAAGAUCACCAUGGAUUUCAUGAUGGGAUUGCCCCGCUCGCAAACCGGGCAUGAUGCCAUUUGGGUGAUCAUGGAUAGAUUAACGAAAUCGGCAUAUUUCAUACCUAUUCACACUACUUGGACUGGUGUGAGACUCGCACAGGUAUACUUGGAUAAGGUUGUGCGAUUGCACGGGGUACCUACUUCUAUAGUAUCAGAUCGAGACCCCCGAUUCGUGUCCCAUUUCUGGAGGAGUUUACAGGAUGCUUUGGGUACGCGCUUUGAUUUCAGUACAGCUUUCCACCCUCAGAGUGACGGGCAGUCAGAGCGCACUAUACAGACUCUUGAGGAUAUGCUUCGAGCCUGUGUGAUCGACUUCUAGGACAAAUGGUCGAAGCAUCUACCGAUGGCGAAGUUUGCUUAUAACAAUAGUUAUUAAGCAAGCAUCAAGAUGGCACCUUUCGAGGCACUCUAUGGACGGAAAUGUAGAUCGCCACUUCAUUGGAAUGAAGUUGGCAAGAGAUUGGCUUUAGGCCCCGACGUGCUCCGGGAAGCUGAGGACAAGGUUCGCAUUGCUCAGGAGUGACUAUUGACAGCCCAAAGUAGGCAAAAGAGUUAUGCUGAUAAGCAUCGACGGGACUUGGAGUUUCAGAUUAGAGAUAAUGUCUUCUUGAAAGUCUCGCCGACCAAGGGAAUUAGAAGAUUUGGCAUUCGGGGUAAAUUGAGUCCCCGAUACAUUGGACCGUAUGAGGUUUUGGAGCGUGUAGGCCCGGUAGCGUAUCGACUUGCUCUACCACCAAACCUAUCGGGUGUACACAAUAUCUUUCAUGUAUCGGUCCUCCGGAAGUACAUCUAUGAUCUGGCUCAUGUGUUGGACGCUACACCAUUGGAGCUAAGGGAUGAUUUGAGCUUUGAAGAGCAACCUUUGAGAAUUUUGGCUCGCGAGGUGAAAAGAUUGCGAAACCGUAUGAUUCCCUACGUGAAGGUGCUUUGGAGCAACCACGAUGAACGCGAGGCCACGUGGGAGUUGGAGAACGCACUGCGGGAGCGUUAUUCCCAUCUUUUUCAGAUGGAGGCUUGAGGUACUGUGCUUUUCGAGUUUCGCAGACGAAGCUCUUUUUUAGGAAGGGUGAAUGUAACACACUGGACCUUUGCAAAUUGCGAGGUUCGAGUGUUUGAGUUGUGUUCUUAGUUUUUCCAGAUUUUUUGGUGGGUCGUUGAUAGUGUUCUGACCUAUGGCUCGUAUCUCGAGAUUUGUAGUAUUUAAAGUAGCUCUAAGGUCAUCAAAGGGUUGGACUUAGGCUGCUCUCGGGUGGCAUCCUGCAAGGCUGUGUACCGGUACACCUGUGAUGGUUGUACCAGUACAAACAUUUGUACCGGUACAAGUCGAUGGCUGCGCGGUACACUUGUGAUGAUUAUCGAACCCGAGGCUCGAGUUUGUAGUUUCGGAGGAUUUGUACCGGUACACUUUUUCGUGUACCGGUAUAUUUUGGCAGACUGUGAAAACUGCAGCUUUGAGGGGUGUAUUUGCUAUUGUAGCAACUCUAUAAUGGCCCCCACGCUCCCUAGAGCCCUUUUUGUGCUGAGUUCACAGGAGCUUGAGGUAGGGGACCUCCUCUCUUCCCCUCUUUGGAUUAGAUCUCCUUUUUCUUGGGUUUUUAGAGAUUAAUCUUCUCUUUUUGCUUCUUGGUGCAUUUUCCCACAUUGGGGGAAGCUUGGAGCUUGGAUUUUGAGCUUGGUUGAAGGGAGAUCUUCAACCCUAGCUGGUUUUGGGCUUUGUGUGAAGCUCUAAAAAGGUUAGUUACAUACUUCUCCUCUCUAGAUCUUGAUUUAGUGUUUUUCAUGUGUAGAAACCCUAGAUUUGGAAACUUAGGGUUGUUUUUGGGGCUUUUUGAUUAGAGGCCUUUGGGACCAAUCUAAUUGGUUUAUAACCUUGGUUUAUGUUGCUUUGAAAGGGAUUUAGCUUCCAUUUGAGUUUUAAGGGAGGAUUUCUACUCUAUAGGUGAGUUUCUUGCCCUUAUGCAAUGUUCGUUAAUGUUUUAGUUCAUGAUUUGCCGUUUCGAUGUUGUAACCCCCGCUAGCCUAUCUUUUAGGGUGCUAGGAGCGAUUAUCGAAGCUUCGUUAGCGCUUCGGAAGCCCGAGUGCAACUCUUGGUGGGUUUGACCUAGCCACACAAUGAGAAAAUCUCAUUUGUGAUGAUUUAUGUAUCGUAAAAUGAAAAUUCAUGUAUUUUCUUGUUAGAUGUAUUAUUUGUGAAUUUUAAAAUGUUUAAAUUGCCUAUGUUAUGUGCAAUGACAUUUUGGACCUCUAUGUAGUAGAGAGCUUGCAUAAGGGAAUCAUGCAUGUGUUUGAGCAUUCUAGUUGAACUUGAAACCUUGUUUUCCUAUGAUGAAAAUGACACUUGUACUAUGCAUUUAAACUUAUGCCUGUAGCACACUGGACCUUCGCAAAUUGCGAGGUUCGAGUGUUCGAUUUGUAUUCCGAACUUUCCCACACUUGGUGGAGGGCAGUCGAUGGUAUACCGACCUAAAAGUUCGAUCUCGAGAGUUUUGGCAGAGUCCUGAGAGUUUUUACUCUCGGGGACCGGUCCCUGAUAGGAGAGACCGGUCCCCCAGUGAACAGUGCUGCGCAGCCGGCGAGGCAACCGAUCCCUGGCAGUCGAGACCGGUCCCCGAGCGCGUCUGCGCGGGGAGAGACCGGUCCCGCGCAGGGAGAGACCGGUUCCCGAACGUUGGAUUUUCGGGGGCAGGCUGAGAGACCGGUCCCAGGUCGGGGAGACCGGUCCCUCUGGGCGAAAACUGCCCAGACCGGGCUGAUGUAAAUUUGAGUUUUUGAGGGACCUAAGUGGAUUUUGUUGCUUUUAAUGGCCUAUUUGGCCAUUUCACCCUCUUCUCUCCUCAUUUCUUCCCUUCCCACCUAUUCUAGAGAGAGAAGAAGAGAGGGAGAAGAAGAAGAAGAAGAAGAAGAGGAGAAGGAGCUUGCUUGGAGGCUUUGGAGCAUCAUCUUCUUCCCCAUUUUCUCACCUUGGUGGCUUCGAGCUUGCGGUUGGAGCUUUGUGGAGGAUCAAACUUCAACCCUACUUGGUUUUGAGCUUGGAUUGAAGCUCCUCUUGAGGUUGGUAGCAUGUAAUCCCUACUUGAUACAUGUUUUUCUAGGUUUUACUAGAUGAAACCCUAGAUUGGGAUUCUAGGGUUAGAUUUGGGGCUUUUUGAUUUGAGGGCUUUGAAACCUUUUUGAUGGGUUUGGAACCUUUAUAUAGGUUAGAUUGGAAGACCCCUACCUUCCAUUUGAAGAUUAAGAGAGGGUUUUUUCACUUGAGGUGAGUUUUUCCCAACACUAGCUUGAGUUGGUUAAUGAUUGAACUUAGCGUCAUUCGUUUCGACUAGAUGACACUUGUUUUCAUACCUUUAGGGUACUAGGAGUGUGGUGGACGCCUUCGUCGUGGCAAACGAAAGCUUUCGUUGACGACGGUGGGUUUGGCUUCGUGGAAAUUGGGCGAAAUGGUCCCUAUGCUCUUUCUAUUUGUUGUAAAAUAUUUUUAAAUUCAUUUCUAUGCUAAAUGAAAUUUAUAUGAAUUUUAGAGCACUUAAAAUGCAUGCCUUGUGUAUUAUGAAAAUUUCACUAUAUAGUAGAGCUAUAUGAGUAGAAUGCAUGCAUAUGGAAAAAGUGUUUAUUUGCAAGUGGAAAAUACAUCACUUAUGAGGAUCAUGACUUGGAAUAUGUACUUUGGAACAUAGUUGCCAUGUUCUGGCAUAGAGAACAAGAGUGUCAUCAAGCAGUACUUGAAACUAGUAAACUAUGAAACUGCAACAUAGAGACAUAUUGAUAGGCCACUACUUAUCCGCUACGUUCCAUGUUAGAGACAUGAUGACAUAGGGAUAGGCCGUUGAGAUACUUGACACAUUCCAUAUUAUUAGACAUGAGGACUUGGUACUUGCGACAGAUCGUUUUCCUACUUGCCAUUGUGCUCAUUCGCACACGCUUGUGAGGGUCGCUCCCUACAAGCCGGCACUCCGGAGAUAGCCAUCACGAUUCAUAUUCGCCGUGCGGGAUUGGACGCCGAAGUGGAUUGCCGUGGGACAGGUUCAUUCCUAGGGUGGGGAUGAUGACUACCACGGGGCCAUUAGGGUCGGCACCGGCCAGACAGCCUACGGGUGGGUCUCAGGGCCAUAGACAGCCUUCGGGUAGGUCUCUUUAGAUUUGACUUUGAGUAUUCAUUAUGACAUGUGGACAGAUGAUGACUUAGUGUACUACUUGGACAUUGACUAGAAUAGUAAACAACGGAACUUUACUAUUCCGCAUUGUGAACAUUAUGAUAGUUGGAGAUUUUUACUUCAUGCAUAGUUGCUUCAUACUUAUGCUAAUUAUGCUAAGUAGAGAUAUCAUAUUGUAGUAAAUUACAUUUUUACUUACCUUUCGCCUUUCUACUUUUAUAGCCACUGACAUCUUUUGUAGCUUUGGGCCUCGUGGUGCAUUCACUGAAGUCAGUAAUUACCCACUGGGAACUAUUUUUAAUAGUUCUCACGCCCCUGUUUUAUGGUUUACUUUCCAGAGCCUUCGGCACCGGCGGAGGCACGGGAUCGCGGCAAGGGGAUCGCUUAGCUAGCUAGCGAGGAGCGGUACUUUGCCUAGGUGGUUUACUCUUUCUUUUUGUAGUAGAGAGAGUGAGAGGUUUUUGUAUCCAUGUAUAGAGACCACCUAUGUAUCUACCUAUAGCACUUGUAUCUGGGAUUUCCUUGUAUCACUUUAUGUUUUAAUUAGUGGAUUUACAGUUUUAUCCUUAUCCCUUGUUGUAGCAUUUAGACAUUUAUUAUGCUCUGAUACUCCUAGAUGUCUUUUAUUAUUGCUUUUAUUAUUGUUGUUUUUAGACGCCUUAUUGUUUUAGACGUAUGGCGGGUCUGGGCACGUGCCGGGCGGGCUUCCGCUGGGUCCCGGGGCGUGACAAUGCCUAAAUGAGACAUAAGGGAUUUAGAAAGCCAUAAAGGGGCUGCGACUUGCGCUAUUCGCAGAUUAUGGAGCUAAUGUCAUAAAGCGGCAUUGAGCUCGGGUUAUUUGUGAAUCUAGUAACGUAGUGCCAUAAAGAGGCAUUGAAUGUGAGACGUAAUUGGGACAUAGCAAUGUUUAAUUGUCAUAAAGAGGCACUAAACAUAGUAAGUGUUGGAACUUCACUUUGAAGCAUAGAACUAGACCGUUGGGCUACUAGUGGCUAUUACUAUGUUAGAGACAUGAUGAAUGAAUACUUGAGACGAUGACUUUGCUUACUUGCCAUUUGUGCUCAUUCGCACAUGCUUGUGAGCGUCGCUCCCUACAAGCCGGCACUCCGGAGUUGGCCUAUGCGAUUUAUGCUCACUCGUACGGUAUCGAGAGACCUACAGGGUCGGGAGGGAUAGACUCAUUCCUAGAGUGGGAAUGCUGGAGCUACCACGAACACUUAGGCGGCACAAACCGGACUACACUUGUGUAGGUCCCUAAAAUAAGAUUGAACAAUGACAUCGAAUUCUUGAAUGUUAAUCACUACUAGUUAGGGUGUAGUAGUUGGAUUAUUAUGACAAGCUUAAUACAUAGCUUCAGAUACUUGAGACAUGUAGCAUGUUGAAUAUAUUACUCCUUGCAUACUAGUAUAUUGUUGCCAUGAUAGAAAAGAACAAACCAUGUGUUGAAUGCACUUCACGUUGAUAGAAAGAAUAUACAUCAUAUUUACUUGUAGCAUAGUAGCUAGCUUUACUUGUAGCAUAGUAGCUAGCGCUUUACACAUGCUUUUAUUUAUGCAGUUUAUUAUUAUUGUCAUCUAUCUCCUUUACCUGACUCUUUUGGGGCUUAGUGGAGUAUUGUGCUGAGGUCAGUAAUUGCCCACUGGGAACUAUAAACUAUAGUUCUCACGCCCUCUGUUUUAUGUCUUAUUUCAUAGCCUUCCACACCAGGAGAGGCUAGGGACAGCGAAAAGGAUAUCGCCUCGAGCUAGCUUGCUAUCGAGGGACGCGUUGAUAGGUGGUCUACCUCUGUCGUUUUCUUUUUGGAGAGGUUGAGAGUUGUAUCCAUGUGUAGUAACCACCCUUUUGUGUACCCCUUUUUGGAGAUGGUUAUUGUAUAACUUUAUAAUUCACUUUUAUUGUUAGUAUUUUCCUUCCACCUUGUUAUAGAUGAUAGAUCUAUUCUUGCUCUGAUAUCUCUAGUUGUAGAUUACUUUUGGCUUUAAUUUUUCGCUGUUGUUGUAGACGCCUGAUAUGUGUUGACAUAUGGCGGGUCUGGGCGAGCUACCGGGAGGGCCUCCGCCGGUCCCGGGGCGUGACAGUAUGUAAAUCAUGUUAGUCAACCAAUCACCCACUCAAUCCUAAGGGACCACUAUUAUCCUAAUUGCAUAUCCAACGGCGAAAAAUUUAUAAGUAUAAAGGGGUCUAUACUCAUAAGAAUAUAGUAGCCCUAGCCUAUAUAUAUAUAUAUAUAUAGAAUUAAGUUACAAUAUUAUUAAUAGUAUCAACUACUUGCUAUUAAGUUUUCGACCCUUAGAUGAAGGGAUGUGUGGUCAGGAUAAUAGUAGCCCCCUAGGGUUGAGGAGGUGGAUAAUUGAAUAGUAUGAUCUAACGGACGAAAAUGGCCAAGGGGGUAGAUCUAACGGUAGAAAACUCGAUAGCAUAAAAUGCUUGGUAUUAUCGAUAGUAUAGUAGCCGAACUCAAAAUUUAUAGGUAGAUCUAACGUCAGAAAACUCGAUAGCACAAAACAAUUGGUACUAUAGAUAGUAUAAUAGUCCGACUAUAUAUAGAGAGAGAGAGUCCGGCUACUAUAUUAUCAAUAAAACCAAAUGCUUAGUGCUGUCGAAUUUUGUGCCGUUAGAUCUAUCCGUUUGACCAGUUUCACUCAACAGAUCAUACUAUUCAACUAACCACCCACUCAACUCUCGGGAAUCACUAUCAUCCUAACCGCGCAUCCCUUCAUCCAAGGGCUAAAGACCUAACAGCAAGUGGUUGGUACUAUUAAUAAUAUAGUAGGUUAUAUAAUUAUAGUUAUAUGUAUAUGAUAGAUAUUAUAGUAUAUAGUAUUAAUAGAUAUAUAGUAUUAGAGUGCACUUCCACUUUGGGUUUGUCGCGAUGUUACGGAUUUUGAAUCGAUGGAGCAGCUCCGGCGUUGAGCUUGGAUGGCUAUGGAUAUUUUGAAGGUAAGUCUAGAAAUAAUUUUGCGUAUUUUUCGAUAUCAUCGUUGCCUUAGUAUCGUAACGUGAGAGCUCAAAACGAAACGGCUGAAAUAAAAACUUUACAAAAUAUGAGAUGAUAUAUUUUGUAAAGUUAUUGAUCUGUUUUAUAUGGUAUAAAGAAUGUUUCGUAAAAUCGAAAUUAUCGUGAUUUGGAUAUUUCUAAGCAUCCGUUAAACUUGCACCGCUCACGAAUGGCGCAUUAAAAUUGAUGAUUUGAGCCCUUCGAUCAGCGGUAGGCCUAAAUGAUAUAAAAAAUCACAAAAUUUAUUUUCACCCUAAGUAUUCAGAUAUACUCUAUAUCAACUCUAGUAACGGUAGCUAAUCGUGAUGUUCGAAGUCGUCGAACCAUCGAAACAACUGUAAGCACGCUCCGGACGGAGGCUCCGUGCUUCUAAGUAAGCAUACCAGCCCCCUCUCUGCGUCCCCUCGGGCCUGCUGGUCUCGGGUCGGGGGGGGGGGAGGGGCGGGGGGUAGCGGCAUGCGGUAUCCACGGGGGUCUGUCGCGCUCUUCGACCUCCCCUCGGUCUCGCUGGUCAUUCUCUACCUUCUCUUCUCCUCUCGUAUUAUAUUAUAUAUAUAUAUAUAUAUAGGCUAAAUUACAAAAAACUCCUCUGUAAUAACCCGCUUUUUCACUUCCCCCCCUGACAUUUAAAAACCUACACUUUGCCCCCUUGUAAAAUGAAAAUAUUCACAGGGAGGUUACGGUGUGUAAAAUGACCAUUUUGCCCCUCGCCAUUUUCAUCUUCUUUCUCAUCUUCCUCAGCUGCCCCUUCGAUCGGCCGCGAUUCCAACCUCAAUCGGCUGCGAUUUCUCUCCAUUUCCUUCUCCACCUGCUCCCCUUCUCCUCUUGCACCCUCGCCGCUCCUCGAUUUCGGCGACAGUAGGGAGGAAACUGAGGUGGGUGUUGAUGGAGAGGUAGGCAAGGGCAACGAAGGCGAAGGCGAGGUGGCGGACGACGGCGAAGGGGAUGUGGGCGAUGGCGAGGCAAUGGAGGACGGCGAGGCAGCUAGGCGGCGAGGCAGCCAGGCGACGGCGAGGUGGCGAGCCGGAGAGAGACGAAGCAACAGAGAAGAGGGCGGAGGGGUAUUUUCGGCAUAAAAAAAAUUUUAUAACGGAAUCCUAACGGUAGGGGGUGAAGUGCACAUUUUUUAUUUUACAAGGGGGCAAAGUGUAGGUUUUUAAAUGUCACGGGGGAAAAGUGAAAAAGCGGAUUAUUACAAGGGGGUUUUCUGUAAUUUAGCCAUAUAUAUAUAUUUCGAGCUUUUCGAGCCUAAUUCGAACGAGCCCGGUAAUACUCAAGCUUGGCUUGAAAUUAAUUUCAAGCCUAAAUUUAGGCUCAAGCUCGACUUGAAAUUAAUUCGAGCCAAACACGAGCCGGCUCGCUCAUUUGCCAGCCCUAACUACCACAGGGCCAUUAGGCACGGCGCAAGCCGGACUACCCACGGGUAGGUCCUAUGAGAUUCGGAACAAGUUGAACCAAAAUGUUAAGUGGACAUUAGAUAAAUUAGUAAACAAUGACAUUUUUACUAGUUACAUUGUGGACAUCAUGUUGGUUAUACUUAUGCAUAUUCAUGUUAGAAUAGCAUUUAUAUUGUGGAAAUUCAUGCUAAAGUAUAAACAUAGUAGUUGGUAAACUUAUUUCACGUUUCCUAUUCAUAUUGCUAUUUCCUUUUUAAUAGUUGAACAUCAUAUAUUUACCUUUUAGCCUAGUGGUGCAUUUCACUGAAGUCAGUAAUUGCCCACUAACCCCUAUUUUAUGGUUUUCUUUCAAAGCCCUCUGCACCGGCGGAGGCACGGGAUCGUGGCAAAGGGAUCGCCUAGCUAGCUAGCGAGGAGCUUAUCUUUUGCUUAUUAGGUGGUCUUCUCUCUAUUUUUGUAUCUAGUAGAGAGUAGGGCUGGCAAAUGAGCGAGCCAGCUCGCGUUCGACUCGCGUUCAACUCGAUAUUUGGCUCGCUCGAGCUCGACUCGAAAUUAAAUGACCGAGCUUGAACAAAAAAAAAGGCUCAAAAUUCAUUUCAAGCCGAGCUUGAGUAUUACUCGACUCGUUCGAAUUAGGCUCGAAAAGCUCGAAAAGCUCGAAUAUAUAUAUAUAUAUAUAUAUAUAUAUAUAUAUAUAUAUAUACAUAAUAAUUUUGGACUGGCAAACUUAACUAUUAGUAGCGAAAAUCCCAUCUAGUUGAUACCAAUUUGUUUAGCCCUUUGGAUCAACUUUUUCAUUAUUUCUAAACCAAUUCGGAAUUAAAGAUAACUAUAAAUGAACCCCAGUGGGACCAAUCAAGCCCUAAGGGGGCCACUCAACCUCUAAACUGACUAAAUAAAUAACAUCCUAGACUGCUAACAUUUGGUUCAUGCCAAGAUUCAAAAAACUUGAUUAGCCAAAGAGCGUUUUACUAUUAAUAAGUAUUUCCAGCCUAAUGAUCUACCAAUUAUAAUAUAUUAUAUAAUAUAUUAUAUAUACAGAAUAUAUAAGAAUAAUAAAUAUCUAAUCGAAAGUAAUAGGAUAAGGAUAUGGGCUCAAUACGAUUUUUUGAUUUUUAGAUCAACUAAUCAUUUUCUUUGGAAUAUAAACUAUAUUAUCUUGUAAAGACGCACGUCAAUCCUAGGGAUAAUUAUUUAAAUCCUAGAGAAGCAUCAUCCCAACCUACAAAUCUUCAAUCAAAGGCAAAAUGAAAAACAGAACAAAUCAAAUCCUUAUAUGUUUAUUCGAUAAGCAUAGUAAUUCUAACAGCUAUAUAUAUAAUUAUAUACAUAUAUAUACUAUGUAUAUAUAUAUAUAUAUAACCAUAUGUAUUAUAUAUAUAUACAUAAAUCAUAUUUAUAUAUAUGUGUGGUAAUAUAUAUAUUAUAUACAAUAUUAUAUAUAUAUAUGGUAUUAAUAUAUAUAUAUAUAUAUAUAUAUAUAUAUUAAAAAAUAUAUAAAUAUAAUAUAUUUUAAUUAUAUAUAGGCUGAGUGAAUAAUGUGAGUUUAGUUAAAAUUGGGCCAAUGUUGUUGGCCCAUAAAAACAAACCCAAUAGGCAAAUAGAAGAGCAAAAUUUUAUUAAAUUUAUACAUUUUUUCUUUCUUUCUUUCUUGCACAGAGCUCUAAAUUUUCAAUAUAUUUUUCUCUUUCUCUUUUUCUGUCUCUCACCCUAUAUGGCUAAGCCGGAAGCCCUCCAAGUUAUCAAGUAGCAGCAUAUGCCUGCCGUUGCCUAUCUUACUAUUAAUUGUAUGCUUGAGAAAAUAUACAGAAUAUUUUUAAAGUAAAAAAUUAUUAUUCAUAUAAAAUUUUAAUUUAGUUAUAUAUGAUUGGAUAGUUUAAUCCAAUAUUUAUCUAUAUAAUUUAUUUAUUUUUGACUGCAUAAAUGAAAAUGAAUAAUAUGGAGAUUGAAGGCGGAAGAAAAGGCAUGUGAGGCUGAAAAGAUUAGAUAUUCAACUCAUAAAUUUUUUUUUUCAUAUUAUAAUACUACAUUUUAUAUAAUUAUUUUAUACUUUGAACUAUUAGACAUAUUUUUGUAUCAAAUUAUAGAUAAUGUUCUUUUAUUAUUGUUUAUUUAUCGCUCUUUUGUAGACGCCUUAUAUGUUGCAGGCAUAUGGCGGGUCUGGACACGCACCGGGCGGGCUUCCGCUCGGUCCCAGGGCGUGACAGAUUAUUUUGGUAUUACUAGUGGACCUAGCAAACCUUAGGCCGGUUGGACUAUAGGAAAUAGGCUCGUGAGAGACGAGGUCUAUUUGACAUGUAAGCGAAAGUAUUAUGAUUGGGUUUAUGAUAACUCUAAAAAUAUUAGAGUUGAAUCGGAGUGUAUAGCUUCUAACUUCGCGGAGGGUUACAUUGGCAGCCGACAACGUAACAUCGGAAGUUAGUAGUAAAGGGCACUUCAUUACUUUCGCAUGAUUUGGGUAUUAUGUGUUUGAGUGGGGUUCCGAUAGCGUGGGUUUUACUAACUUGCGCUUUCAUGAUGUUGUAGUGAUAUGCCAACAACUCGCUCUAAAUCAGUUGGGGCGGAUAAUGCGGCAAAUCUUGAGGAGGUGGAGACCUCCGCUAUCUCCGGAUCCAGCGAGGUCCGUGAGUUGAGGAGCCAGCUUGCGGCCCUCACUGACUUGGUGACACAGCAGGCAGAGGCGGCCUGACAGCAAGCCGAUGCGGCCCGUCGGAAGGACGCACGGAUGAAGCACCUGGAAGAUCUUCUACUGCAGCAGGCGGCUGCUAGGGAGGUUCAGAUUCCCCUACCACCCGCGCUAGUUGACGACGUAGCACCGAGGGCGCCGUCUCCCACGCCCGGUUCUUCGCGGGCAGCACCUGUGGUCACGCCUCGGGAGGAGGACUUGGUGGCACCACCAGCUUAGGUGCCUCCGGCGGGGGUAGUUUUUCCCGUGAUGGUUGAGGGAGCAGAGUGAGAGCACCUCAUGGAUCGCCUCAACGAGUUCAGGAGGUGCAAUCCCAGAAUUUUUUAUGGAGAGAAAGUCGACCACUAGAUUGUAGAGAAGUGGUUGAUUCAUAUGGAAAAGUUAUUUCGCGACACCUUCGUGGAGGAACGAGUUUGGCUCGCUACUCAUCACCUGGACGGCGAGGCCUAUUGUUGGUGGUUAGAUCUCCACGAUAACCCCAGCACGGAUUUGACGGCUAUUACUUGGACGAGAUUCAAAAAGCUUCUUUUGGCGCAUUAUUUCCCCGACAUUGUCAAGAGGAAGAUGGAGCAGGAUUUGCGCAGCUUGCGCCAGAGGGAUAGGACUGUAGCCGAGUACGAGAGGGAGUUUUCUCGGCUUCUACAUUGCGUGCCUUUCGUCGUGCGGGACGACAAGGACAAGGCCCGCAUUUUUUAGCCAGAAUUGCGACCGUCGAUCUUCCGGUUUGUGCAAUCUUCCAAUCUCCAAACCUACCGGGAGGUGGUGAACUGCGCGCUCAUUGUGGAGAGCGGCGCGGCGGAUCUUCAAGAACGGAGAGAAGGCUUGGACAUGGGUAACGGCAAGAGGCCCGCGGCGGAGGGUGCGAGGCAGACGUACUUUAGGAGGCCGCCGAAUCACCCUAGGAGCCAGCAGCGUGGACGUGGCUUAUCGGCACAGCGCAGAGGUUCUGAUCGUCGCCGACCACCCCAGUGUGUGAUCUGUGGUGGCCCUCACGUUCCACUACAGUGUCCGCAGCGGGGAGACAGGUGUUUCCUUUGUGGCCAGGAGGGCCACUUCCGGACCAAGUGCCCGAGAGGUUCUUCACCAGCACCGUCGUCAGCAUCGGCACCGGCUCUACCAGCCGCCAGUCAGGGGACUCCAGCGGCACAUUACCAGCCUGGGCGGCCACCCGUCCAGCGUCAGACUGAGGGGUCGCGACAGGCACCGAGUGGGCGUAUGCAUGCUGCACAGAUCGAGGAGGCGGUAGCAACCGAGGAUAUGGUGGCAGGUAUCAUUUUAUUAAAUGGCAUUCGAGUUCGUGCAUUAUUUGAUACCGGUGCAUCGCAUUCAUUCAUAGACCGGCUGUUUGCCAAGUUGUAUGGCAUCCCGUUGUUUCUUUGUUCCAUCCGGGACGUGUUGUAGUUCCCGACUACUCUUUGGAUAUUCGAGAGUAUUGCCCCAGUUGCCCUGUUCGGGUAGGAGAUUGGAUUAUACCCAUGGAUUUAUUAGCUCCACACAAACUUGGAGAGUUUGAUGUAGUUUUGGGUAUGGAAUGGUUAACCAGGUAUUUCGCCACUAUCGAUCGCAAGAAUCGAACGGUUACUUUUAGAGAACCGGGGCAGACGGAGGUUGUAUUUAGAGGAUGCCAGAAUUCGCUAUUCGCGAUGACGAUCAGCUCGUCUCGAGCUAGGCAGUUGAUCAGUAGGGGUUGUGUAGCCUAUUUGGCUAGUGUUGUGCUGAGGGGCGAGGAUGACGCCCCUAGGAUUGAGGAUAUCCCGGUUGUACGAAAGUUUUGUGAUGUGUUUCUAGCUGAGCUCCCCGAUAUGCCACCUGAUAGGGAGAUUGAGUUUGUGGUAGAUUUCGUCCCUGGGACUACUCCAAUUUCAAAGGCGCCCUAUAGGAUGGCACCGGCAGAGUUGAAAGAGCUGAGGGCACAGCUGCAGGAUCUUUUGGACAAAGGGUUCAUUCGACCGAGCGUCUCGCCUUGGGGAGCACCGAUUUUGUUUGUCAAGAAGAAGGACAGAUCACUUCGCUUGUGCGUGGAUUAUCGUGAACUUAAUAAGGUCACGAUCAAGAAUAAGUAUCCGUUGCUGAGAAUUGAUGACUUGUUCGAUCAACUUCAAGGAUCGAGUGUGUAUUCCAAAAUCGACUUGCAGUCGGGAUACCACCAGUUGAAGAUCAAGUUCGAGGAUGUAUCGAAGACGGCUUUUAGAACACGGAAUAGACAUUAUGAGUUCACUGUCAUGCCGUUUGGGCUUACUAAUGCCCCGGCAGCUUUUAUAGAUAUAAUGAACCGUGUUUUCAAGCCUUAUCUAGAUAGGUUUGUCGUGGUGUUCAUCGACGACAUCUUGGUUUAUUCCCGAACCGACAAGGAUCAUGAAGAGCAUUUAAGGCUUGUACUUCAAGUGCUUCGGGAAAGGAAGCUAUAUGCCAAGUUGAAAAAGUGUGAAUUUGGCUUCGAGAGGUGGCUUUCCUUGGACAUUUGAUUUCGGGAUCGGGUAUAGCCGUGGAUCCUAGGAAGAUUGAAGCUAUCAAGGAUUGGCCUAGACCGACGAGCGUCAGAGAAAUCCAAAGUUUCCUUGGUUUGGCCGGCUACUACCGACGGUUUGUCGAGGGAUUUGCGAAGUUAUCUACUCCCCUCACGAGGUUCACGCAUAAAGGCACCAAGUUCAUUUGGAAUGAGGCGUGCGAGAGAAGCUUCCAAGAGUUGAAGCAAAGAUUGACGACAGCCCCGAUCCUUACCUUGCCAAUUGCUGGAGCAGGGUAUGUGAUUUAUAGUGAUGCUUCCUUUAAUGGAUUCGGUUGUGUUUUGAUGCAUGACGGGAAGUGAUCGCGUAUGCUUCUCGCCAAUUGAAGGAUUAUGAGAGGAACUAUCCUACACAUGACUUGGAGUUGGCGGCUGUAGUCCUUGCAUUAAAGCUAUGGCGCCACUAUCUUUAUGGCGAGCGACGUGAAGUUUAUACGGAUCACAAGAGCUUAAAGUAUUUAUUCACCCAGAAGGAGCUGAACUUGAGGCAGCGCAAAUGGUUGGAGCUACUCAAGGAUUACGAUCUGACGAUUCUGUACCACCCGGGCAAGGCUGACGUGGUGGCGAAUGCGCUAAGUCGGAAAUCAACGAAAAAUAUAGCAAUGCUUGUUGUUACUCAACCGUCGUUGAUCGAGCAGAUGAAGCGGUUGGAGUUAGAGGUGGCAACUCCUGAUACACCAUUGAGAUUGAUGUCAUUAGUGGUGCAACCUACAUUAUUGGAUAGAAUUAAAGAAAAGCAAGUUCACGAUGUAGGGUUGCAAGAGGUUCAAGUCAAGAUGGUUGAUGGUUGCACCGGUGAUUUCCUUAUGGAUGAUUAAGAAAUUUUGCGUUUCCGUGGGUGGAUUUGUGUACCGGCGAAUUUGGGAAUUAAAGAGGACGUACUUCAAGAAGCUCACCAUGCACCUUAUGCUAUACAUCCGGGAGGCACCAAGAUGCACAAGGAUUUGAAGCUACUCUAUUGGUGGCCCGGGAUGAAGAAAGAUGUUGGCGAGUUUGUAACUCGAUGUUUAACUUGCCAAUAGGUGAAAGCUGAGCACCGAGUUCUCGUGGGAAAAUUGCAGAGUUUAUCGAUUCCAGUGUGGAAUUCGGAGAAGAUCACCAUGGAUUUUGUGAUGGGAUUGCCUCGCUCACAGGCUGGGCAUAAUGCUAUUUGGGUGAUCGUGGAUAGGUUGAUGAAAUCGGCUCAUUUCUUACCUAUUCACACUACUUGGACUGGUGAGAGACUCGCACAGGUAUAUCUUGAUGAGAUUGUGCGAUUGCACGGGGUACCUACUUCUAUUGUAUCGAAUCGUGACCCGCGAUUUUGUCUUAUUUUGGAGGAGCCUACAGAAUGCCUUGGGCACGCGCUUGGAUUUCAGUACAGCUUUCCACCCUCAGAGUGACGGGCAGUCCGAGCGCACUAUACAGACUCUCAAGGAUAUGUUUCGAGAUUGUGUGAUAGACUUUCAGGGAGGAUGGUCGCAGCAUCUACCGAUGGCGGAGUUUGCUUAUAAUAAUAGUUAUCAAGCAAACAUCAAGAUGGCACCCUUCGAGGCACUCUAUGGACCGAAAUAUAGAUCGCCACUUCAUUAGAGUAAAGUUCGCGAGAGAUUGGCUUUAGGCCCAGAUGUGCUCCAGGAAGCUGAGAAAAAGGUUCGUAUCGGUCGGGAGCGUUUGUUAAUGGCUCAGAGUAGAUAGAGGAGCUAUGCCGACCGACGACGGCGAGACUUGGAGUUCCAAGUUAGAGACCAUGUGUUCUUGAAGGUCUCACCGACUAAGGGAAUUAGGAGAUUUGGUAUUCUGGGUAAGUUGAGUCCCCGCUUCAUUGGACCCUACGAGAUUUUGGAGCGUAUAGGCUCGGUAGUGUAUCGACUUGCUUUACCACCGAAUCUAUCGGGUGUACACAAUAUAUUUCAUGUAUCGGUUCUCCAGAAGUAUGUUUACGAUUUGGCUCACGUUUUAGACGCUACUCCUGUCACGCCCCGGGACCGGCCGAGGCCCUCCCGGUAGCGUGCCCAGACCCGCGAUAUGUCAGCACAUAUAAGGCGUCUACAUCAACAGCGGAAAAUGAAACCAAAGGUAAACAAUAUCUAGAGAUAUCAGAGCACAAAUAGAGCUAUCAUCUACAACAAGGUAAAAGGAAAAUACUAAAGCAAUAAAAGUGAAACAUAUAGUUAUACAAUAUCUGUCCAAAAAUAGUACACAAAAGGGUGGUCUCUAAUAAGCUGGUACAGUUCUGAACCUCUCCAAAAUAAAUACAUCGAGAGGUAGACCACCUAUCAACUCGUCACUCGCUGAAGAGCUAGCUCGAGGCAACGCCUUUCCUACGGUCCCUAGCCUCUCCCGGCGUGGAAGGCUUUGAAAGAAAACAUAAAAUAGAGGGCGUGAGAACUAUAAUUUAUAGUUCUCAGUGGGCAAUUACUGACCUUAGCUCAAUGCACUACUAGGCCCCAAAGAAAGGGUAAGUCUAAAAAGAGAGCAAUAGAAAUGAAUAAUUGCAUUUAUGAAAGCAUAAUUAAAAGCUAAGAUACUACUUUGCAAUUAAACAUGGUGUUAAUAUCAUGCACCUUUAGUUGUCAUAAACAAUAUGUCUCUACAUGGCCACAAGUAAAUGUCACGGUUUACCUUAUGAAGUUGUAAAGAUCAUGCUUUAUCAUGGCAACAAUGUGUAUAUGAAUGCAAUAAGCAACAUCUCCUAGCAUACUACAUGUAUGUACGCAUACUCAAGUGUCCAAAACUAUGCUAGAAGCAAGUCCAAGUAAUCCAACUACUACUCUCUAUCUAGUAGUGAUUAAAACCCACUCGACACCGUGUCGAUUUCCAUUUUCAAUUAAGGACCUACCCAAGGUAGUCCAGCUUGUGCCGCCUAAGUGCCUAUGGUAGCCCAACAUUCCUGUUCUUGGAAUGUGUCUGUCCCACUCGACCCCGUAGGCUUCUCAAUACCGCACGAGCGAACAUAGGUCGCGUAGGCUAACUCCGAAGUGCCUGCUUGUAGGGAGCGACCCUCACAAGCUUGUGCGAAUGAGCACAAAUGGCAAACAAGCGUAGUCAAAGGCUCAAGUAUCCAACCCUCAUGUCUCAAACAUGGCAAUAGCUACUAGUAACUCAACGGUCUAACUCUAUGUCACAAUGUGCUAACCCAACACCCACUGGCUUAGUGCCUCUUUAUGACACUUAAGCAUCAUAACUAAUCAAGCCCAAUUCAUAUUCUAUGUUCCAAUUAAGACAUUAAUACCAAUAUUCACUAUAGCCCGGGCUCAAUGCCUCUUUAUGACAUUGGUCCAAAUUCUCAAAUAGUCUAAGUCCCCAAGCCUCUCUAGGCUUUCAAAGUCCAUAAUGUCACAAUUGGGCAUGAAGGUUACAUGCAUGAAAGUAAUGUUUAUUUUCAUAAUAGGAAUCAUGGUUCCAAGUCUCAACUAGAAUGCUAUAUCUCACAUGCAUGCACUCUAUCACAUAGAGGUCCAAAAAUUUACUAUACAUUACAUAGGAAUGUUAAGCAUUCUAAAAUUCAUAAUAAAUAUAUCUAACAUGAUUAUGCAUGCUUUAUCAUUUAACGAUACUCAAAUCAUCAUAAAUGAGAUUUUCUCAUUAUGUGGCUAGGUCAAACCCACCGAACCUUCGCGUAGUCCCUCAUUUCGCCGAACGGAGAUGUCCAUGAGUCUCUAAAUAUUCUAAAAGUAAGGAGCGAAGAGAUACACGGGCAUUAUGAUCAACUAUAAGAUCAAACAUUAACCAUCAAGGCAAAAGGGCUAAAAACUCACCUAGGGCGUAGAAAAACUCUCACAAGCUCCAAAAGAAAGCUAGAAUCAUUCCAAUCUAACCCAAAGGAAGGUUCUAAUCCAAGAAAUUGAACUCCAAAAGCCCUAGGUUCAAAAUGCCCAAAAUAAACCCUAAGUCUCUAUUCUAGGGUUUCAUCUCAAAAAUUCUAACAAAAUAAGGAUCAAAAGGAGAAAACAAGUUUCUAACCUCUCAAGAAGCCCCCAGCUAGGCUCCAAAUCAAAAGGGGUUGAAGUUCUCCUCUCCAAUAAACUCCUCUCCAAGAUCCAAACCUCCAACAAUGGUGAAGUUGGCACCAAAGAGCAAAAAGAGAAGUUUAAUCUCUUAAAAUCCCACCAAAAUCCAAGGAAAUCAAAAGGAAAAUCAAGGAAGGCUCCCUUACCUCUAUUCUUGCUAUGGCAAGCUCAAGAGAAAGCCCUAGGGGCGUGGGGUGCUAUAUAGAAGACCACAAUUGCGAAAAAUCCCCUGCAGUUCAAACUGCUCAAAAACUGCCACUGCGUACCGGUACACGGGCCCACGUACCGGUACACAUCCCACGAAAAUACCAAAUCCGAGCCUCGGGUUGGCUGGGAAGCUGCCUGUGUACCGGUACACAAUCCCAUACCGGUACAACCAUCAACCCUGUACCGGUACAGCCAUCAACCCUGUACCGGUAUACAGCCCAAUGAAGGCUACCCGAGUGCUAACCAAAAAUCUAUUUUUUUGGAUUUUGGUGCUAGGCUUCAGACCUCAAUCCUCGGAGUUCGAACCAUAGGUUGGAACACUAUUUACGACCCACCAGAAAGUCUGGAAAAACUCAGAACACAUACAAUCACUCGAACCUCGCAAUUUGCAAAGGUCUAGUGUGUUACAACUCCAUUGGAGUUGAGGGAUGAUUUGAGUUUUGAGGAGCAACCCGUGAGGAUUUUUGCUCGCGAGGUGAAGAACCUGCGGAAUCGGGAUAUUCCAUAUGUGAAUGUUCUUUGGAGCAACCAAGAUGAGCGGGAGGCCACGUGAGAGCUGGAGAGCGCGCUGCUGGAGCGCUAUCCCCAUCUUUUUCAGAUGGAGUCUUAAGGUACCUUGCUUUUGAGUUUCGUGGACGAAACUCUUUUUUAGGAGGGGUGAAUGUGACACACUGAACCUUUGCAAAUUGUGAGGUUCGAGUGUUUGAGUUGUGUUACGAGUUUUUCCAGCUUUUCUGGAGGGUCGUUGACAGUGUUCCGACCUAUGGCUCACAUCCCGAGAAUCGAGAUUUAAACUUAGCAACAAUGUCUCCAAAGUGAAGAUUAUUGGGUUGCUCUCGGGUUUGACUCUGUAUGGAAGUCUACCGGUACAACAUUGAAGUUGUACCGGAACAAGAGGUUGUACCGGUAUAACAUUGGAUUUGUACCGGUACACAGAGCUGUUUCUGCCAACCCGAGCCUCGGGUUUGCUCCUAUUGAGGGUUGUACCGGUACAUUUUCCUGUGUACCGGUAUACAAUGCAGAAUGUAGUCUGCUUAUUUUUUAGGAGUGUUUUGGAAUUGUAGCAACACUACAAAAACCACCCACGCCCCCUGGUGUUCCCUGAACUGGGAAACAGAGGAGAAGAAGGUAGGGAGCCCUCCACUCCUCUUUGAUUCUCCUUCAUUUUAGUUGGGAUUUUUGAAGUUUAAUCACUUCAUUUUGCUCUACUUUGCUUCUUGGUGCCAUUUCCUCCAUAGGAGAAGACUUGGAGCUUGGAGAGGAGCUUGUGGAAGGGAAGAUCUUCAACCCUAGUUGAUUUCUAACCUUGUUUGGAGCUUUUCUUUAGGUUAGUAACAUGAUUCUUCCUCUAGAUUUAUGUUUUGAUAGAUGUCUUGAGAUGAAAUCCUAGAAAUGGAAAAUUAGGGUUUAAAAUGGGAAUUUUUUAUUAGAGGCUUUUGGAACCUAAUUGAUUGACUUAGAACCUUCAUUUAUGUUGGUUUUGAAGAGUUCUUGCCUUCAUUUGGGAUUUGAGAGGCAUUCCCCACACUAUAGGUGAGUACUUGCCCCUUCUUUUGAGUUGAUUAAUGUGCGAUCAAAGGGGUGUUCAUAACAUUCAUUUAUCUCUCUUAAUAUUACCUUUAGGGAGCUAGGAAAGUAGUGGACACCUUCGUCGGUGCAAACGAAGGGCUAUGAGGAGUUUCGGUGGGUUUGACUUCAUGGAAUAUGGGAGAAAUUCCUCCUAUGUUAUUUUUACUUGUUGUAAAAUUGAAACGCAUGCAUAUUCAUGCUAGAUUGUCACGCCUCGAGACCGCUACCAAUUUGGCCCGAUCCGGGCGCGUCGAACAGACGCCGAACGGACAGGACCUCCCCUGUCCACCCAAGGCUAACCAACUGAUCAUGUAUAAGAAUUUACCCAGGAAUCAAUUCAUGAAUACACGAUCACGAGGAGCACCACCAGUGCCAACCAAAACAAGAGCAAGAUACAAGUAUGAGACAUACAAGUAAUUAAAGAGAGAAAGUUCUAUCUAUUACAUUCAUUCAACUUAAUACAUUUAAUUCCAUCUUUUACAUUCUUUCAAAACAUGUAUACAAGCACUCUCAAACCUCACCGUAUACAACAUCUACUCUCAACAUAAAUACAGGGUAGAGCUAAUGCAAAAUGGGUGGAUAGCUAAUGCAACUAGGGCACUAAGCCCUUACCACGACCCUCGCGCUCGCCGGGGACACCCGAGCUCGAACCUGAAAAGAGUGGGGUGAGAACUAUCUUCCAUAGUUCCCAGUGGGUUCGGCCGCCGACUCCACCUGUCUCCCCACUAGGUCCAAGUGGGCACAAGUAGAUAAACAGAUAGAUAGAUAUGGAAAGCUGUAAUAACAGAAUAGCAAAGCUACGCUACCGUGCCCGAAUCAUAUAUGUAAAGAUGCAUGCACAAUGAAAUGGGUAAUCAACUAGCUCUUCAUAUGUCCAAGAAGUAAGGCUGUUUACUUGUUCAUUAAUCUCGUGGUUCAUUCAAGGAUCCGCCUACUACUCACAUAGCCGUCUCGAUACUACGAAUCCGAGACCGUCUGCGGGACCCCACAUAGGCCAUCUCUCGGGACCCCAAAUAGGCCAUCCCUAUCCCACGGGACCCCAAAUAGGCCAUCCCUCGUGACUGACUCCGGAGCGUACUACUUGUGUGGAGCGACCACCACAAGUCGGGAACAGACAAUGAGUAUGAUCCAAUUCUCCCACCUCAAAGGUAUCCUAUCCACUAGGGUUACUAUCAUCAUAGUCAAUGGUUUCAUAUACGCUACGACUCACAUAUGCUACUCAUUCUUUGUUUACUUAACAACUAGAUGCCACUCGUUCUUUUAUUUCAACUAUUGCAUCAUUCCUUCACCGCUGCACUAUAGGAUUUCAAGUCUCGACCCAAUCCUCAUCAAUCCUCUAUAUCCAGCAACUAAUGCAUAAUAUUUUAUCAGCUAGGAAAGCAUAAGGAAAGGCAAUGCACAAUUAUCCUACAAUGCAUGUGAACACAGGAUGCAAGGUCUCGAAAUACUAAGACAUAAAAGGGAGCCCGAUUGCUUCGGGAUGGUCGCCACCCACCGCUUGGUGAUACCGCGCUAGUAGAAAACUCAACUUCGUAGUCCUUGAUCGACGCCUCGACUUCUCGGGUCGAUCCAAACCUUUAAACACUUGAUUCGGCGGUAUCUUCGCACCCGCUCGUCGUAUCGAUGAACCGUCUUCGCCGACGCAUUUCGUGACCUAGCAAUUUGGUUUACGACCUAUUAAAAUAGAUCAAAACCCUAGAUUUCCAAAAAUCCCGAUUCCGUGCCCUAGGUUAGCAACGGUGAGGAAAUCCAUGGUGCAAGCUUCAAUUGCGAGCCCGAACCAUCUAUUUAUCUCCUCUAGGUUCUAUUCGAGCCAUUUCUAUGCAAUAAAACCCAAUCUCAAGAAAUCCACCCUGGAUGGGUUUGAGGUUUACCUAUAAACCAAGCUCCAAACUUGCUCUAGCUUGAGGGAGAGAGGGAAGAAGAUGAUCUUCUUCUUCUUCUUUGUCUUCUUCUUCCUCUUCUUCUUCUUUUCCUUUCUUUUCUUCCUUUCCUUCUUUUCUUCCUAGAGAGAGAGAGGGAAAGAGUAUGAGAGGGAGAGAAAGAGCAAUGAGGGGAAGAGAGGUCCCCCAGCCUCUAUUACAGGUUAUUUUGCAGAUUGCCCAUUCAACUUUUCAUCUUCUGAAUCAGCCCUCACUGGGCAUUUUCACAGUGAGGGACCGGUCCCAGCUCGGGGAGACCGGUCCCCGAGAGUCUUCCAUCUCGGACAGAAAGGAUUUCGCGUUCGAGAACCGGUCCCUGCCUGAGAGACCGGUCCCUGGGAGACCGGUCCUUGCCCGAGAGACCGGUUCCCGAGAGUUGGAUUUUCGGGACUUAGCCAAUUUUCGGCUGUUCUCGCUGGGCUAACGUUCGGGGACCGGUCUUCCUUUAUCAGGGACCGGUCGCCUCAAGGAUUCCCGCAGCCCAGCCUGAUGGGACCGGUCCCUCCCUGCCAGGGAUCGGUCCCCGAGAGCAAUUCUGCUCCGGUGUAGAUUUCACACUAGUGCUCUCGCGGACUCUUCUUUAAUGCACUUUAGGCAUUGUAAUCCCCUUCGGACUUUCCGAAGCCUACACACUCGACAAUCAGUCGAUUCUAAGCGAAGUCUAAUCCUCGGAUUUCGAGAAUUCACUUCCUAACAUAGAUAGAGCCUACGAGUUAUUUAGAAUGCUUAAAAUACAUGUGUUAUGUAUGAUGAAAAAUUACCUCUAUAUAGUAGAGAGAGACAUAUGCGUUGCAGCAUGCAUGACAAUAGCAUUCUAUUUUAUGAUUGGAAAUCAUGUUCCUUGCAAAGAAAAUGACCUACAAUAUAUGCUCUUGGACUUAGUAUUCAUGUUGGACUUAGUGGACAAAAGUGCCAUAAAGGGGCACUUAACCUAGUAAACGGUUAAACUGCAACAUGUUGACAUAGAAACGGAUCACUAGCUUUUCUACCAUGUUUUAGACAUGAUGACAUAGUGAUAGGCCAUUGAGGCAUUGACUUUAUUCCAUGUUUUAGACAUGAUGACAUUGGACUUGAUUUGGAUACAUACGCUUGCUUGCCAUUGUGCUCAUUCGUACAUGCUUGUGAGGGUCGAUCCCUACAGGCCGGUACUCCGGAGAUAGCCAUCGUGACAUAUGCUCGCCCGUGCGGGGUUGGGUGCCGAAAUGGGAUGCCGUGGGGGAGGCUCAUUUCUAGGGUGGGGAUGUUUACUACCACGGGGCCAUUAUGCACGGCGCAAGCCGGACUACCCACGGGUAGAUCUUAUGAGAUUCGGAACAAGUUGAACCAAAAUGUAAAGUGGACAUUAGAUAAAUUAGUAAACAGUGACAUUUUUACUAGUUACAUUGUGGACAUUAUGUUGGUUAUACUUAUGCAUAUUCAUGUUAGAAUAGCAUUUAUAUCGUGAAAAUUCAUGCUAAAGUAUAAGCAUAGUAGUUGGUAAACUUAUUUCACGUUUCCUAUACAUAUUGUUAUUUCCAUUUUAAUAGUUGAACAUCAUAUGUUUACCUUUUAGCCUAGUGGUGCAUUUCACUGAAGUUAGUAAUUUCCCACUGGGAACUAUUGUUUAAUAGUUCUCAUGCCCUUGUUUUAUGGUUUUCUUUUAGAGCCCUCUGCAUCGGCGGAGACACGGGAUCGUGGCAAAGGGAUCGCCUAGCUAGCUAGCGAGGAGCUUAUCUUUUGCUUAUUAGGUGGUCUUCUCUCUAUUUUUGUAUCUAGUAGAGAGUGAGAGGUUUUGUAUCCAUGUAUGGAGACCACUAUUUGGGUUGUAUAGCACUUGUGUUUGGGUCCUUCUUUGUACUACUUUAUGGUUUACUCUUAGUGGAUUUAGCUCAUUUAUUUACUUUCUUGUUUUAGUAUCUAGUUGUUGCAUGCUCUGAUACUCCUAAAUAUUUUUUUAUUAUUGUUUAUUCAUCGCUCUUUUGUAGACGCCUUAUAUGUUGUAGGCAUAUGGCGGGUUUGGUGUCACACCCCAGGGCCUAUUUUAAAAGUCUUUUUAAAAUCCAUUACCAUUUUGGAAUUCAGAGUCGUGGAAGAUGUGCCACUUUUUUUUUUUUUUUUCAACCUGGCCCACGUGACGUACAGACCCGCCACAAAUACGAAGUUCCUCUGUCCACUCAGAUAGAGUCUCCUUUGUGUUUGCACAGCGUACCAACUGUACAACAGGAUCUCAACCACAACCAAUAUUUAUCAAUCAACAACCAAUUCAUGAUAUGCAUUUCCAUACAGCUAUCGAUCCUUAGAGAUGGUGCAUGCCUCUAAGCACUCCUUAAGCGCUGGAUGAUGCAAUGCACAAUACAACAAUCAUCCUAUUUAAAAGUGCUCACCACCCGGAAGCUUUGUCUUUAAAAUCUAAUUCAAUCAUUCACAAAACCAAUUCGAAAAUCUUUUUAAAACUGUUUCCUACAUGGAAACUCUAUUUUGAAAACCAGUUACCUCGAGGGGUAGAAAACCACAAGUAUAAAUAUAACAACAGAGAAUCCAUAAAACCAGAACUACAGAUCCACAAUUAUCCGUUCACAUGCAUGAAUAACGAAAAUGUCCACAAAACCAAUUCACGAACAGACAAACAAUCAUAGAGAUUAUCUAACUGAACCAUUUAUUAAUAAAGACUACUAAAUGCAUAAAUAAGAAUAACCCGGGUGAUGGUCGCUACUGCCGACUAGCUAGAACGUCCUCUCGUCGCGCCCAACACCAACUCCAAGCCCGAAUCACCCAGGAAAUAGGGGGUGAGAAACCGCAACCAUGGUUUCCCAGUGGGUACGACAGAGCCACGAAGGCAAGCCGUGAUCACUGGAAACCAAAGGAGAUAGAUAAAUAAGAUAUAUAUAUAUACUGUGAUGCGAAAAGGAAACUACAGUAGCUAUAACUGGUAUAUAAGAAGCAAGAACUAAAACCAACCAAGGUGCUCACCUCAGUUGGCAGUGAGGAGCGACGGCGGCGACGACGAAACCAACCAAGGCCGCACAAGAUCCGGCCGGGGUUCCAAGGGCUGCUGCGGCCACGGCGGCGGCCGGGCACCUCGGGACGGCGNUUGCCACGAUCAUCGUGCUCCCUUCCACAGAGAUCGGGAGGCCUCGAAAAGCUCAGAACAAGAAACCGCCAAAGAAAAGCCCUACUUCGCCGGAGCAAGCUUGCUCCGGCCGGCCUCUGGCGGCACGGCAAGGCGUGCGCGGGCCAGGGAUGGGUGCGGGGAAGUGGAGGAGCAAGGUGCUCACCUCAGUUGGCAGCGAGGAGCGGCGGCGGCGACGGCGGAACCAACCAAGCCUGCACAAGAUCCGGCUCGGGUUCCAAUGGCUGCUGCGGCCACGACGGCGGCCGGGGCACCUCAGGGCGGCGUUGAUCAGCAGCGAGGGCCCCCCAGGAACACAAGGAGGAGGAGGGAGGCAGCGGGCGACUGCGGCGGCGGCCCGCGGCUCGAGCACGGCCGCCCGAGCUUGGCUCGGUCUGUAGACCGAGGCGGCGAUGCCUAAGGCGUGCGGCGACGGCGACGACCUCUCCGGCCGAGCACGGGUUGCCGGAGGGUCUGGGGGUCGUCGCCGGUGGGGUGCUAGGCGGCGGCGGCAGCAUAGCUCGGUCCCCAGCUUAGCAUGGCUCGCAGGACCCCAGCGGCGUGGCGGCGGCGCUCGGGGCGGCGGCGGAGGUCCCCUGGGCUUCGGGGAAGGCGGCGGGAUAAUCCUCAGGCGGCGGCAGUGCACGGGGAGGGAGCUAGGGCUACCUCGGCCAGGGCUCGGCCAAGCAGGCUGCAGGCGGCUACAGCGCGACACAGCGGUGCUCGGGGGUGGCGGCAGUCGGCGAGGACAUUCGCCGGAGCUCGGGGUUACGCUGGGGAAGGUGCAGGGAGGCAAAGCAGCCUCGGCCAAGGCUCCAACCCGAGAAGAGGAGAGCGGUGGAGAGAGAGAUGGAGAGAGAGAGAUGGAGAGGAAGGCUGCGGCUGCUGCUCGCCGGCCGGGGCUCGGUCGGCGGCGGCCGGGGGUGGCGCAGCAAGGGCAGGGCAACCAAGGGAGGUGGCUGGGGGUUUAGCUCGGACUAGGGUUAGGGUUUUCUUAGUGCAAACCCUAAAACAAGCAUAUAUACAAGGUGCAAUAUGCGAGUUAGCCCACCAAACCUCAGUAUUUAGUACUGAGUCCCUCACAGCGCAUGUACAACGCGCGAAUAUCCCUCCACGUGUGAUCUCAUGCAAAGCGAUACAUAAAAUGUCAUGACUUUUGUGAAAUUACUGUUUUGCCAACACCGACCUCUCCACGAUCAACGUGCGAUUUCUGCAGAUCCGUCCGUCAGAUUUGCGAACAGAUUGCACGAGUGCGAUCAGCACGACGUAGACAACAAAGCUACAAUUUUGGUUCGCCUCGAUCGAUCACGGAUUUGCGACGAAUUCUGUUUCCUCUCCGAAAGGCCAAAAUGACGCUCAAAUACAUAAGAAACAUGUAUUUUCAGAUUUUCUCGAAAUCCGUGCGUCAAACCCAAAAUCCAUCAGCGCCAUUAGUUCUAGAAUAGUUGAAUCGUUUGAAAUGAGCUAUUGGAUUGCUGUGAAUGGAGUCCGAUACGAGCCUGAAGCCAACUUCACGCCGUGGCUUAUCCGGAAAAUCGAGUUAUUAUUCACCUUAAGUGAAACUUGGAGAUCACGUAAAAUCUCCGUUUUAGCUCGAUUUCUCCCGAAACUUGACGAGUGCUUUUGUAAUUAAAUUACACACAAAAACAUCAUCAAUUGAGAGUGUAGCUACACUGCCAAAAUCUCGGUCCUUACAUCUGGACACACACUGGGCGGGCUUCCGCUGGGUCUCUAGGCGUGACAAAUUUUGAUUGAAAUUUUAUUUUAUUUAGAUUUUUUCAUCAUUCUAGGUACUGAGACUACGAUGAAAUCAUAAUCUUAGAACGUGAUUGCGAGAACUGAGAUUUUUUUAUAUAUAAAUUAGGCGUAAUUUUAAAUGUUAUAAUAUGUAUUUAAUUUUAAAACUGCUAGUCAAAUUUCAGUGAAAAGUAAUUUAAAAUUAAAUUUUACGCGAUUAUUACUUUUCACUUAAGUGAGUAGUAACUCUUAUUUUCGGAAGAGGCCGCCUAGUGUAGAUGCUUUUGUUGUGUACCGAACUCUAUUUUUGGCGAUCCAAUAGCUCGUUCUCGAGGUCUAAUUGCGUCGAAGUCAACGUCACUAACGGAUUUUGGGUUUGACGCACGGUUCCUAAGAAAAAUAGAUUUUAUCACAGUUAGGGCAAACUAUACUUUGUGUUUUUUGCUUUUUAAUCACAAUCGGUGCUUCGUUUUACGAGAAAACCCACGGCCGGGGACCUUUCAACGAAAGAAAAGUGGUAGAGAAGGUUGGGUCAAAAAUCAUGCAGUUAUGAGGGGUUUUUGGGGUAAUUAUCCUAAACUACUUAGGAUAAUUUUAAGAUUAGGGUUUCAUGAACCCUAACCCUAACCUUAAUUCUCUCUUCUCUCCCAUCUGGUCCUCCUGAGGCGUGCCGCCGCCGUCGUCGCCGGUUGCCAGAGAAGAGGAGGACCUCUCUCUUUCUCUCUCUCUCUGUAUUUGUGUGGAAGAAUGAGCCCGAGCCUCCUUUUCCGGCACUGCCGUCGACUGGGACCACCGCUCGCACCAUCACUCGACCCCGAGCGACUACCCCCGAGGCUCCCGAUGUAAUAUACCAAGACUUCAGUAAAUAAAUAUCGAACUUUAGUCAAAUUGACCAAAGUGCGAGGAUGGUGCCUUUCGGAAAGUCCGAAGGCGUUAAAAUGAGUAAAACUGCAUUGUGGGAGGUUUUCGAGAGCUAAAGGAUCAAAAAUCUGCAAACUGCAGAUUUUGUGCUCUCGGGGACUGGUCCGUGGUGGGAGAGACCGGUCCCCGAACGCGUGACAAAUAAGAAAGCUGAAAAAUCGGCUAAGUCUCAGAAAACCAGCUCUCGGGAAUCGGUCCCUAUAGGGAGAGACCGGUCCCCGAGAGACCGGUCCCUCUGGGAGAGACCAGUUGCAUUGCGCGGGGGCCCUGGCUGCCCGCGGGGAAAGCUCUCUGGGACCGGUCCCUUGUCGGGGAGACCGGUCCCCGAACACGAAAACUGCCCAGUUUUGGCAGUUCAAGAGAAUAAAAGCUGAGGGGUUUAUUUGCAAUUAUGCAACCCAUGGGUUAUGUUAUGAGGGGUUAUGGGAUAUUUCUCUCAUUCUCUCCCUCUCACACCCUCAUAUCUCUCUCUCUUUCUCUCUCUAGAAGACAAGAAGGAGAAGAAGAAAGAAAGAAAAAGAAGAAGAAAGAAAAAGGAGAAGAAGAAGAAGAAGGUGGAGAACAAGGAGUGAAGAAACUCCCUCCUCUCCUUCUCUAGCUUGAAGAAAUGAAAGCUUACAAAGUAAGCUUCUUCCCCUCUCAUGGUAGAACCCAAACUAGGGUUUCAAUGGAUCUAGAAAUGGUUUUAAUGGUAUCUCUUGAGUAGAUUAAGCUUUCUUUUGCUUGUCUUUGAGGUAAAAACCCUAGGUUUUGUUAAGUGUGAAGCUAGGGCACCCAUAAUCGGGGCUUUUGCUUGUGAGGGUUUUAAAGUGAAACUGACCCUUUAGAAACCUAAUUAGGGGUAUUUUCGACGCGUUGGUGCGCUCGGUUUAACGUUACGAAAAGCUUAUGUAAAGUUAUGGGCAAAAAGGCCUAAUUUGGCUUCGUUUUGCCGCAGGUGACGAACUAAGCGGCUAAAAAUCCCGAGAAAAUCACCGUAGCACCUAAGUAAGCCUACAAGGUGGGUGGUGCUCUCCAAACUUGUUGGAAUUCGCUUUAUGUCUAAUGUGUCACUUCUUGAGCAUACAUAUGUAAUUGUUGCAUGCAUAGUAGGGUAAUGAGAUUAUAAAUAUGUGAAUGUUUGCAUUUUGUGAGUUCAAAUGCAUCAAGAGAUGGUUGAGAACCGAUGAGAAUGUAAUAACCUUAUAUGUGCAUGUAAAAGAGAUAAGAGCUUAGCAAAGUUAAAGAACGAGUGACAUAUGACAUGAGGACAAUGUAAUGUUGAGAAUGAAAGCUAAAGUUAGCAUGACGUAUGACGUAAACAACACUAGAGCUAAUGUGUGUGGCAUUAAAGGAAACAAAUGUGGUAUAAAGAAUGAUAAAAGCUAGAGUUAGCAGAUGUGUGGCAUCCAAGAAUGAUAAUUGCUAGAGUUAGCAACAAAAUGUGGCAUAAAGAACAAUGGCUAGAGAUAGCAUUAAAUAUGUGGCAUAACGGACACUAGAGUUAGUGUAAAGACAUGAUGAAAGUAAAGAAUGCAAAGAACAUUAGAGUUAGUGUAGUGACAUGGUCAAAGUAAAGAAUGCAUAGAACAUUAGAUUGAGACACGAUGACAUACAACCUUAGAGCUAAGGGUCAUUGUGCAUAAUUCCUUAGAGUUAAGGAACAGAUUGAACUGAAUAUUCUUAGAGUUAAGGAUUGAUCAUACUCGCUGUAAGUCCUUACUUGAGGGUGGUCGCUCCCCCUCGGGCGAUGCGCUCCGGAGUUUGUCAUCACUGUGUUGAGUUACUCAGAGGAUGGUCCUAGCGGGAGGAAGCUGAGGGCCCGCGAUCAUGGAUUUUGAGUUGGUGAGUUAAUGAGGCGAUACCCCCGGGUUAGCCUUGAGAUUGAACGAAAGAACAAGAACAAAGAAUAAAGUACAAAGAACAAAGAUCAUGCAUUCUUCAUGAGUUGAUAUUGAGAAUUUUUAUUGAUCGCAUUGUUCAGGCAUAUUAGUUGCAUUUGUAUAGUUGGCUACUUAUCUGCUUAUUCUUUCUAUUAUGCCUGAGUUAGACCUAGUGAAAAAGUCGGUGAGAUUGGGGCCGAACCCACUGGGAACUUCGUUGUAGUUCUCACCCCACUAUUUUCACAGAGCCGGGACCGAGUGAGCCGGCAAGCGACCGCGGUAAAGAUAUCGCGCCAUAGAUAGUGACCACCCGAGUUGGGUUUAUAUUUUGUUAGUAGCUUACCAUGUAUCUUCUUAUGUAUUUGAAUAUGGUUAUGUAUAAAGCAAAUGAGAGAAAAGAAUGUAAUGUUUCAUUUGGAGUAAAAGUGAUGUAAAAAGAGAUGAUGAAAAGCAAUGUAAAGAAAAAUGUUAUGGUUGAAUGAAAUGUAUAUGAUCAAAAGUGAAUCAUAGUACUUAUGUUGUAGUUAGCUUCCUUUCUUUCACUCAUGGCUGUUGCUUACCCUCGUGUAAGCCGUUUGUGUAUGUUUCCACUAGUGCUUUUCUCUACUUGAAAAUAUACAAGUGAUGAGCCUUGGGCGGACAGGGCAAACUCUGUCCGUUCGGCAUCUGUUUGACGUGCCCGGGUCGGCCCAAAUUGGUAUCGACUCCGGGGCGUGAUAGAUAUUGUGGUAUCAGAGCCAAAGUGAAAGAAUAGGAAUGGACCUAGAGACCCUUAGGAUUGGAAAGGACUCAAGGAUCUUGGAAACGUGAGUGACGUUGGAUCGAAGUUAGCGAAAGCAUACGAUUGGGUCAAGUUGGGAUGUCUCUAAUGUGAUUAGAGGCUAAGUUUGAAUGGAUGUUCAUUCUCUACUCCUUGUUUUGUGUCGAGCGGCCGACGACAUAAUGCUUAGGGCGAGAACGAAUGCGUAAGUUGCUUUCGCCGAAUUGGGUAUGGCUGAGUAAUGUUGGUCAUGUAGCUAAUGCGAGUUGCUUCUUUUCGGGAAGCAAUGGCACCUGGUGGUCGACCACAGACAAGGUCAAUGCCGGAGGAGCCGAGUGCGGCGCCCGAGCAAUCCGGAGCUAGUGGCGACAGUGAACUUCAGGAGCAAAUGGCCGCGCUUAUUGGCAUAGUGCGGUAACAAGCGGAGUCUAUUCAACGCCAAGGGGAGCAGAUUCAACGGCUCCAGGAGGCUUUGGAGCGUCAGCAAGCGGCGACGGCCCAGGCGGGUGCCGAGCAUGUCGCACCCCCUGUGGCAGUGCCGAGCGUGGUUGAGGGAGCGGCGGCAGCGGCGGCUGUGCCCGUCAUGGUAGUACCGGCCGGAUCGGGAACCUCAAAUCCCGAUAGUGCGGCAGUUGAGGUGGAGCGAGAGCGUGCGUUAGUGGCUCUCAUUCAGUUCCAGAAGUUCAACCCACCUGUCUUUGAGGGCGGAGUGGUGGAGCCAGCGGUAGUGGAGUCAUGGAUCGACUCAAUGGAAACGCUCUUCGAGGAUCUCAAUACCUCGGAGAAGGACAAAGUGUACGUCACCAUCCAUUGUCUCGAGAAGGCGGCGAAGGUGUGGUGGAAGCGAGUUAAGCGGGAUCGACCUACCGAUCUUCCGCUUAUGCUUUGGGAGGAGUUCAAAAGAGCGGUGUUCGCGAACUACUUCCCCGACACGGUAAAGCGAAAAUUGCAAGAGAAGUUCCGCAAGUUAAGACAAGGUGAUCGAUCGAUGGGAAAAUAUGAGCAAGAAUUCUCUCACAUCAUCGACUGUGUUCUGGAUGUUGUGCGAGAUGAUCGAGACCGGGCUGAUUGGUUCUUACAAGGACUCUAACCGAGGAUAUACGAGAAGAUGCAGAUCUUGAAGUUGACGACCUUUGCGGAGGUCUUUGAUCGAGCCUUGUUGGCGGAGCAUGGUAGCGCCCAUGUACAAGAGAAAUGGGAGGCUAUGGCCGAAAGUAAGGAUAAAGGCAAGAAGAGAACGGCGGGCGGUGCCGGGAGGCGGCAGAAUGCUAAGAAACCCCCUUGGUAUCCUAGACAGCAGUCAAGGAACUGGAGACCACCUAGGUGCGUUAUUUGUGGCGUAGAGCACCGAGUGUCGACUUACUCGCAGCGCGAUGGCAGGUGUUUCAAGUGUGGCCAACUGGGACAUCUUAUCCGGGAGUGCUCGAGCUGGACGUCGUCUGCGCCAACGGCGGCAUCAGCACCGUCUACCGCGAGACAACUUGUGGGGUUGCCACCAACGAUGUCGAUUGGGCGCGCAUCAUCACCGCGUCAGCCGGAGGGAUCGUGAGCGCCUAGCGGCCGAGUCUUUGCCGCUAAGGUGGAGGAGCAACCUGCAGCACCCGACGAUGUCGUGGCAGGUAUAAUUAUGAUUAAAGGCACUAGAGCUAGAGCUUUAUUCGAUACUGGUGCAUCUCAUUCAUUCAUUGGUGCAUCUUUUGCAAAAACUCAUGGUAUCGAAAUAGUGCAUAGUUAUGACUAUUGGUGGGUCAAUGCGCCGGAACAUUCGUUCAGAGUGCAUGAGGAGUGUUUGGCUUGUCCAGUGCAAAUAGGCGAUUGGAUUAUGCUGAUAGAUCUGCUAGUGCUAGAUCAGAUAUGGGGAUUUGAUGUUAUCUUGGGGACCAACUGGCUCUCUAAGUACUAUGCAAUCAUAGAUUGUAAAAGCAAGGUAAUCACUUUUUGUGAGCCGAAUCGGAAAGAGUUCGUGUACCAAGCGUGCAAGAGCUCGCGCUUCGCGGCGACCGUAUCGUCGGUGAGGGCGAAGAAGAUGAUCAAAGGAGGGUGUAAGGCCUAUUUGGCAACCAUGGUAGAUGCUCGAAAGGAGUACCCAGAGUUGGGGGAUAUUUGAGUAGUGUGCGAGUACCCAGAUAUAUUUCCGGCGGAGUUACCGGGAUUGCCACCGGACCGGGAGGUCGAAUUCUUUAUUGACUUGAUUCCCGGGACGGAACCAGUUUCGAAGGCUCCAUAUAGAAUGGCACCAGUGGAGCUAAAGGAGUUGAAAGCACAACUACAAGACUUGCUCAAUAAAGGCUUUGUGAGGCCGAGUGUGUUACCGUGGGGAGCUCCGGUGCUAUUUGUGAAAAAAAAGGAUGGCAAACUUCGACUCUGUGUAGACUAUCGCGAGUUGAACAAAGUAACGAUUAAGAACAAGUACCCGUUGCCAAGAAUUGACGAUUUAUUCGAUCAGUUGCAAGGGUCCAAGGUGUAUUCGAAGAUUGAUCUCCAAUCAGGGUAUCAUCAACUAAAGAUUAGGCCGAAGGAUGUGCACAAAAUGGCGUACCGUACACGGGAUGGCCAUUAUGAAUUCACGGUAAUGCCGUUUGGGCUUACUAAUGCCUCGGCAGCGUUUAUGGACUUGAUGAAUCGUGUCUUCAGGCCGUUAUUGGAUCGAUGCAUCGUGGUGUUUAUAGACGACAUAUUGGUUUAUUCGAAGAGUGAGAGAGAGCAUGAGGAGCAUUUCAGAGCUGUGCUACAAAUACUCCGACAAGAGAAGCUCUAUGCAAAGUUAACGAAAUGUGACUUUUGGUUGACGGAGGUCACUUUUUUGGGUCACGUGGUAUCGGGCGACGGAGUGUCAAUAGACCCGAAGAAAGUGAAGGCAAUCAAGGAUUGGCCUCGCCAGACAAGUGUAGCGGAGGUCCGUAGUUUUUUUGGACUCGCAGGCUAUUACCGGCGGUUCGUGGAGGGGUUUGCUAAAAUAACUACUCCACUAACGCGCCUUACUCACAAAGGAGUAAAGUAUGUCUGGAGCGAUGAUUGCGAUCGGAGCUUCGAGGAGUUGAAAGACAAGUUGACGUCAACCUCGGUGCUUGCCUUGCCGACUCCGGGGGAGACCUUCGUAGUGUACAGUGAUGCCUCGUAUGUCGGUCUCGGGUGUGUAUUAAUGCAAAAUGGGUGAGUCAUUGCAUAUGCUUCGCGCCAAUUAAAGAGUUAUGAGAAGAACUACCCGAUUCAUGACCUCGAGUUAGCCGCGGUGAUUUUCGGCUAAAGCUUUGGAGGCAUUACUUAUAUGGUUAACAUUGUGAGAUAUACACAGAUCACAAGAGUCUCAAAUACUUAUUCACCCAGAAGGAAUUGAACAUGCGACAGCGGCGGUGGUUAGAAUUGUUGAAGGACUAUGAUGUCACUAUACUAUAUCACCCCGGGAAAGCAAAUGUCGUGGCCGAUGCUUUGAGUAGAAAAUUUGUCACGCCCCAACCGCGCGGCCCGAAAACGGUACCAAUUUGGUCCGGUUCGAGGGCGGUGGCGCGACCGCCGAACGGACGGAGUUUCCCCUGUCCGCCCAAGGCUAAGCAACAGAUUGUGUACAACAAGUCCCCAGGAACACAACUUGAAUAUAUACACAAUCAAACAACGAUGAACGAGAGCACGAACAGUGCUACAACCAACUAGAGCAAGCGAUACAAGUAAAAUCAUACAAGUAUACAAAAGAGAGUAACUUAGCUAUUUGAGACAUCAUUGAAAACAUCAAACCUCUUUCGAUAUCAUUUAAACUUUAAACAUUUAAUACAACUUGCAUUCUUUUCUCAAAUGAAUAUACAUCAUGAACUCUCCAAAAACCUCACCCUAUACAACAUCUACUCUCAAAGCAUAACCAAAAGUACAGGGUAUAGAGCUAAUGCAAGUAGGUGAAGGAAGCUAUCUAUCAAAGCUAGGGCGCUAUGCCCUNAGAAAAUUCUAGAUCUUCUGUUUUCAUCCCGAUUUCAGCACAAGUCACUUCUGACUUAUGUUUUACUUCUCUAAAUCCAAUAAAAUAGUAUCUCAUACUAUUUUUACUUAUUUUCACUUUUAUAUUAAAAAUCCGGUAUGUUACAUUCCACCGCAGCCUCACCGGAACCAUUUAAAUGGCUUUCCAAUCGAACGUACACUGUAACCUCAUGAUUUUCGAAGUCCGGUAUCUUACAGAAUUACUAGUUGGUUGUAUAGUUGCAUUAUUGCAUGAUCUUCAUAUUGCAUAUCGCGAGGCAAUGCAUGGUAUUGUUAGUUGCAUAAUCCUAUUAUCAUAUCUAUCUGUUUAUUGAACUAACCUGCAGCUUGCCUCCUUCGGACCUGUCGGUCGAGGUUUUCCCUUGGGUGGCCGUACCCACUGGGAACUAUAGAGUUAGUUCUCACCCCACGUUGCUUUUGGGGUGUUACAGGUUCACACGUGAGCGGCGCGAGGCGAGGGCGUAGCUUCGUAGAUAGCGCCCAACCACCGUUACCAGAGAUAGCGGUACCCAAGUCAGCCAAGCUAGGGGUUGUAGAAAAGGAAAGCAAAAGGAUCAAACUUGUAAUAAUUUUGUGAUGAUUGAUUGUAUUCGGAAGUUUAAAUGUAUUUGAAAGGAAAAGAAAUGUAAAUAAUAUCAAGUGAAUGAAUGUAAUAACUUAGGAUGUGUUUAUAUUGUUUGAUACCUUUCUUAUGCAAUCGUUGUAUGUUGAAUACUGUUCCUGGUUGGAACCUGUUGUAAUUGUAUUGAUUGCGACGCCUAGGACGUACAGGGAAAACUCUGUCCGUUCGGCGGUCUGUCGACGUGUCGAACCUGACCAAAUAGGGGGAGCUCGGGACGUGACACUGAGAGUGUACAUUCACAACGAAUACAUUUUCGCAAUCAAACGAGUCAAUAUUGGGACCCAAUAAGACUUCAACUAUGCGCAAUGUCACGCCCCAGACCGCACCUCCCGAAAACGGUACCAAUUUGGUCCGAUUCGAGGGCGGCGUGCGCGACCGCCGAACGAACAGAGUUUCCCCUGUUCGCCCAAGGCUAAGCAACGAAUUGUGUACAACAAGUCCCCAGGAAAACAACUUGCAUUCAUACACAAUAAACAACGAUGAACGAGAGCACAAACAGUGCUACAACCAACAAGAGCAAGCGAUAUAAGUAAAGCCAUACAAGUAUACAAAAGAGAGAAACUUAACUAUUUACACAUAUUUGAAACAUCAAACCUCUUUCGAUAUCAUUUAAACUUUAAACAUUUAAUACAACUUGCAUUCCUUUUUCCAAAUGAAUAUACAUCAUAAACUCUCCAAAACCUCACCCUAUACAUCAUCUACUCUCAAAGCAUAACCAAAAGUACAGGGUAUAGAGCUAAUGCAAGUAGGUAUACUAUCGGCAACAUCUACAACUAUCAACGAAUGAAUGGGUCGAGAUAAUAAACAAGUACGUAAGUACUAAGGUCUAACUCCGUAUCGAACUAUAUCAACAAAUGGAUGGCGAAAAACAAAUCAAGUCAAAAUAUACAUAUAACGUAUAUAUAGAGAGAUACGGACGAACUCUGGAUCACCCAUCUAGCCGCCUCAGCCGCCGGCUUGGGUGACCCUUGAUAAGCAUCAAGAGUGAGGGCACACCAAAACCCUCAUGUCCAUGUGACCUGUCGCCCGGAAGCAGCUACCUAGCGCCAUUCCCGUAUCGCGGGAUCGAAACUAUCUAUCGAAGGAAGNGCUAGGGAAAUCCACCUAUCCCUAUGUUCAACAUCAUAGUAUCUCAAGUACCCUAGGUUCACAUCCAACCUAUGUUUUAAUAACACUAGGUUCGUAUAUCAUUCUUAUCCAUCCUAGGUUCAUGACACUAGAUUCACAUGCCACCUAUGUUCUUUUAACACAAGGUUUAAUGCCACUCGAUCUAUUCGACACCUAAUUGUCCACAUCGAGUUUCUAUAAUUAUCCACAUAUUCUCUAGCACAUGCUUGCAAUACCAACAUGCAUCCCACCUAACAUAACAACUAUAUGUUAAUAUGCAUACUCUCUAUCAUGAUCUCAUGAUGCUACUAUGCACCUAGCAUAUAAUCCACAAUGCAUAUAUAUUCUACAUUAUGUCCCAAUACCUUUAUAAUUUUAGCAUAUUCCAUUUACAUGCCUUAACACAUUCAUGAUGCCAUCAUGCACCUAUUCCAAUCAUGCCAACAUGCAUAUUAUACUUCAUCCAAGGUAGCUAUUUCAUAGUAUCUCAUGCAUUCACCCUAAGCAUUCAUCUAUGCAAUCAACUACCAUUAUACAUAUAUAUGCAUCAACGAGAAAGCACAUUUCUCUUCGACAUGUAGGCGACCUAGUCUCUUCGGUAAACACAACUCACCUCAAUUCGCUCUCCGGUUGCUUGUAGUCACUUGCAAUCGGCCUCUCGCGGCACCCGCCGCCCGGUUCGGCUCGAACUUGCACUCGGCCAUCGAACGACUAAGAAUCCACAAUCCGGAGAUAAAAGGUAUUUAUCUUGAUGUCACGAUGCCCCGGAUCCGAUUUUGCGAUUUUUGGAUGUCGCCUCGGCCCUCAAGGCAGAAACGAUGUUCUAAUUGUCUGUUUUCCCCAUAUCUUUGCAUCGGCUCGACAAAUAGCCGAACCGACUUCGCCAACGCGUUCGUUUACCUAGCAAUUAGGUUUACAGAGGGUCAAUUAAGAUCAAACCCUUAUAUUUCCAAAAACCCCAAAUCUAACCCUAGGUUUAGCAACAAUAGAGAAAUCAUGGUUUCAAGCUCCAAAUUUGGGAUUGAACCUUCUCUUAAGCUUCAAUGGUUUCCAUUUAAACCAUUCUUAAGCAACAUAACCCUUUCUAAAACCUAGGUUUAGCAUCUAUGAGGAAAACCAUGGAUGCUAGCCUCAAUGUGAGCUAGAUCCAUCAUCUCUAAACUCAUUAGGUUCUACUUGAACCAUUUAAAAGCAACAAAACCUACAAACCCUAGAAAUCUCAUGUUUAGGGUUUAGGCUUACCUCUAGGGUUUGCUCCAAAGCAAGCCCUAGGCCAAGAACGAGAUGAAGAAGAGCUUCCAAGCCUUCUUCUCCUUCUUCUCCUUCCUUUUCUUCCUCUCUUUCUCCUUCUUUUUCCUCUCUUUUUCCUUUUCUCCUUCUUCUCCUUCUAUUCGGUUAGAGAGAGAGAGAGCUAGAGAGAGAGUGAGCUGGGGAGAGUGAAAGAGGAGAGAGCUGAGAGUAAGAGGGAUAUAACCUCUAUUGUAACAAAAUGCUAAAAAGCCCUCCUUUUACAGAUUUUGCAACUUAACCCACUGCUUGCGCGCCCUUGUACCGGUACACGGGACCUUGUACCGGUACAGGCCCUUAAAUCGAGCGCUAUCCGAGCCUCGGGUCAAUCUGUUUCGCAGAGCUUGUACCGGUACAAGCCAGCCUUGUACCGGUACAGCGCCUGAAGCCUUCGAACCCGAGAUUACGCAGCCUGGCUGCGAUGGUUGUACCGGUACAGCCAUCACCCUUGUACCGGUACAACAGCUCCAGAUUGCUGUUUUUCAAUCUGUUUUGAUUUCUUUUCGCGUCCAAUAACGCUAAAACUAUUCCAACACUUUUGGAACUCAUUUUUGCUCUUCCAAACAUAUUGAAACUCCGAAUGGAACUCGUCCAAUUCGUUUAAUCGCUCACUUUGGUCCAUUUGGAACUCAUUUUUGCUCUUCCAAACAUAUUGAAACUCCGAAUGGAACUCGUCCAAUUCGUUUAAUCGCUCACUUUGGUCCAUUUGGCCAAGUUAGCCAAUAUCGUCGAAUUUCGAUAUCUUACACGCAAAGUGUGUAUAUUCAUAACCAAUACAAGUUCGCAUUCAAACGAACAAGAAUUGAAACCUCAUAGGACGGUUCUAUUGCGCCCUAAGAGUGUACAUUCGUAACGAAUACGUUUUCGCAAUCAAGUUGACCNUCGUCCAAUUCGUUUAAUCGCUCACUUUGGUCCAUUUGGCCAAAGUUAGCCAAUAUCGUCGAAAUUCGAUAUCUUACAAAAUUGGCGGAGAACUUAGCGAUGGCAAUUACGCCUCAAACGCUAUUGCACAAAGAAAUGCAACGACUUGGGUUGGAAGUGGUAGCGCCGGGAGUGCCCGCUACACUUACCGCAUUAGUUGUGCAACCGACCCUAUUGGAAAGGAUCAAGGAACUACAAGCUUCGGAUCCUUAUGUUCAAAAGGUUCGAGGUGAAGUUGAAAGUGGAAGAGCCAAGGACUUUGGCAUUGGAGCCGAAGGCGCACUUCGAUUUCGAAAUCUUUGGUGUGUGCCUAAAGAUGAUGAUAUUCGAAGGGCGAUCAUGCAAGAAGCGCAUUAAUCUCCCUAUAGUAUACACCACGGUGGCACUAAAAUGUACAAGGACUUAAAAGUACAUUAUUGGUGGCCAGGCAUGAAAAGAGAUAUUGAGGAGUUCGUGGCGCAAUGUCUAACGUGCCAACAGGUGAAAGCAGAGCGCCGAUUUUCGGCGGGAAAGCUACAAAGUCUAUCUAUAUCCGUUUGGAAAUGGGAAGAUAUACCGAUGGACUUUAUUACCGGUUUGCCUCGAUCGCAAGGCGGACAUGACGCGAUAUGGGUGAUAGUGGAUCGACCGACGAAGUCGGCUCAUUUCUUACCGAUUCACACUACGUGGUCGGGAGACAAGUUAGCUCAAGUGUAUCUUGACGAGGUUGUGAGACUUCAUGGGGUUCCGGUAUCUAUUGUAUCGGAUCGAGACCCCAGGUUCACAUCCCACUUUUGGAAGAGCUUGCAAGACGCGCUAGGCACACGGCUCAACUUUACCACAACGUUUCAUCCUCAGAGUGAUGGACAGUCGGAGCGGACAAUACAGAUCCUCGAGAACUUGCUUCGAGCAUGUGUACUAGAUUAUAAAGGAGGAUGGCAUGAUUUCUUGCCGAUGGCGGAGUUCGCAUAUAAUAACAGUUAUCAAGAGAGCAUAGCGAUGGCGCCAUUUGAGGCACUGUAUGGUAGGAAGUGUCGUUCUCCUAUUCAUUGGAGCGAUGUGGGUGAGAGAACGGCUCUUGGCCCGAUGUAGUGCGGGAGGCGGAGGAAAAUGUUCGCAUUGCUCGUCAACGGUUAGUAACAGCACAGUCAAGGCAAAAGAGUUAUGCCGACAAGCGAAGAAAGGAUUUAGAGUUCGCGGUUGGAGACCGCGUAUUUUUAAGAGUAUCGCCGAUGCGAGGAGUCAAACGUUUUGGGGUCCGUGGGAGGCUAAGUCCCCGUUAUGUCGGACUAUUUGAGAUACUAGAGCGUGUGGGUGCGGUAGCGUACAGGCUCGCACUACCACCGAGACUCGCGGGAGUUCACAAUGUGUUUCAUAUGUCAAGUCUCCGAAAGUAUAUUCGCAAUUCGACACAUGUAUUAGAGUAUGAGCCCGUGGAGUUACAUGAGGAUAUGACUUAUGAGGAGUACCCGGUGUGCAUCCUCGAUAGAGAAGAAAGAAAGCUGCGGAGUCGAAGAAUUCCAUAUGUAAAGGUUCAAUGGAGUAACCAUGCUGUGCGAGAAGCCACUUGGGAGCUCGAGGAAUCAAUGCGGAAAGAGUAUCCGCAUUUAUUUGAGUCGACAAGUUAAGGUAUGCGUAAUUUCGCGGACGAAAUUAUUUUAAGGGGUGGAGAAUGUAAUAUACCGAGACUUCGGUAAAUAAAUAUCGAACUUUAGUCAAAUUGACAAAAAUGCGAGGAUGGUACCCUUCGGAAAGUCCGAAGGCGUUAAAAUGAGUAAAAGUGCAUUGUGGGAGGUUUUCGAGAGCUAAAGGAUUAAAAAUCUGCAAACUGCAGAUUUUGUGCUCUCGGGGACCGGUCCCUGGUGGGAGAGACCGGUCCCCGAACGCGUGACAAAUGAGAAAGCUGAAAAAUUAGCUAAGUCCCAGAAAACUAGCUCUCGGGAAUCGGUCCCUGCGGGGAGAGACCGGUCCCUCUGGGAGAGAACGGUUGCAUUGCGUGGGGGUCUUGGUUGCCGGCGGGGAAAGCUCUCUCGGACCGGUCCCUUGUCGGGGACCGGUCCCCGAACACGAAAACUGCCCCAGUUUUGGCAGUUCAAGAGAAUAAAAGCUGAGGGGUUUAUUUGCAAUUAUGCAACCCAUGGGUUAUGUUAUGAGGGGUUAUGGGAUAUUUCUCUCAUUCUCUCCCUCUCACACCCUCAUAUCUCUCUCUCUCUCUUUCUCUCUCUAGAAGACAAGAAGGAGAAGAAGAAAGAAAGGAAAAGAAGAAGAAAGAAAAGGGAGAACAAGAAGAAGAAGGAGUAAAGAAACUCCCUCCUCUCCUUCUCUAGCUUGAAGAAAGGAAAGCUUACAAGGUAAGCUUCUUCCCCUCUCAGGGUAGAACCCAAACUAGGGUUUCAAUGGACCUAGAAAUGGUUUUAAUGGGAUCUCUUGAGUAGAUUAAGCUUUCUUUUGCUUGUCUUUGAGAUAAAAACCCUAGGUUUUGUUAAGUGUGAAGCUAGGGCAUCCAAAAUUGGGGCUUUUGCUUGUGAGGGUUUCAAAGUGAAAUUGACCCUCUAGAAACCUAAUUGGGGGUAUUUCUGACGCGUUGGUGCGCUCGGUUUAACGUUAUGAAAAGCCUAUGUAAAGUUAUGGGAAAAAAGACCUAAUUUGACUUCGUUUUGCCGCAGGUGACGAACUAAGCGGCUAAAAAUCCCGAGAAAAUCACCGUAGUACCUAAGUAAGCCUACAAGGUGGGUGGUGCUCUCCAAACUUGUUGGAAUUCGCUUUAUGUCUAAUGUGUCACUUCUUGAGCAUACAUAUGUAAUUGUUGCAUGCAUAGUAGGGUAAUGAGAUUAUAAAUAUGUAAAUGUUUGCAUUUUGUGAGUUCAAAUGCAUCAGGAGAUGGUUGAGAACAGAUGAGAAUGUAAUAACCCUACAUGUGCAUGCAAAAGAGAUAAGAGCUUAGCAAAGUUAAAGAACGAGUGACAUGACAUAAGGACAAUGUAAUGUUGAGAAUGAAAGCUAAAGUUAGCAUGACAUAUGACGUAAAGAACACUAGAGCUAGUGUGUGUGGCAUUAAAGAGAACAAAUGUGGUAUAAAGAAUGAUAAAAGCUAGAGUUAGCAGAUGUGUGGCAUCCAAGAAUGAUAAUUGCUAGAGUUAGCAACAAAAUGUGGCAUAAAGAACAAUGGCUAGAGAUAGCAUUAAAUAUGUGGCAUAAAGAACACUAGAGUUAGUGUAAAGACAUGAUGAAAGUAAAGAAUGCAAAGAACACUAGAGUUAGUGUAGUGACAUGGUCAAAGUAAAGAAUGCAUAGAACAUUAGAUUGAGACACGAUGACAUACAACCUUAGAGCUAAGGGUCAUUGUGCAUAAUUCCUUAGAGUUAAGGAACAGAUUGAACUGAAUAUUCUUAGAGUUAAGGAUUGAUCAUACUCGCUGUAAGUCCUUACUUGAGGGUGGUCGCUCCCCCUCGGGCAAUGCGCUCCGGAGUUUGUCAUCACUGUGUUGAGUUACUCAGAGGACGGUCCUAGCGGGAGGAAGCUGAGGGCCCGCGAUCAUGGAUUUUGAGUUGGUGAGUUAAUGAGGCGAUACCCACGGGUUAGCCUUGAGAUUGAAUGAAAGAACAAGAACAAAGAAUAAAGUACAAAGAACAAAGAUCAUGCAUUCUUCAUAAGUUUAUUGAGCAUCUUUAUUGAUCGCAUUGUUCAGGUAUAUUAGUUGCAUUUGUAUAGUUGGCUACUUAUCUGCUUAUUCUUUCUAUUUUGCCUGAGUUAGACCUAGUGGGAAAGUCGGUGAGAUUAGGGCUGAACCCACUGGGAACUUCGUUGUAGUUCUCACCCCACUAUUUCCACAGAGCUGGGACCGACCGAGCCGGCGAGCGACCGCGGUAAAGGUAUCGCGCCAUAGACAGUGACCACCCGAGUUGGGUUUAUAUUUUGUUAGUAGCUUACCAUGUAUCUUCUUAUGUAUUUGAAGAUGGUUAUGUAUAAAGCAAAUGAGAGAAAAGAAUGUAAUGUUUCAUUUUGAGUAAAAGUGAUGUAAAAGGAGAUGAUGAAAAGCAAUGUAAAGAAAAAUGUAAUGGUUGAAUGAAAUGUAUAUGAUCGAAAGUGAAUUAUAGUACUUAUGUAGUAGUUAGCUUCCUUUCUUUCACUCAUGGCUGUUGUUUACCCUCGUGUAAGCCGUUUGUGUAUGUUUCCGCUAGUGCUUUUCUCUCCUUGAAAAUAUACAGGUGAUGAGCCUUGGGCGGACAGGAAAAACUCUGUCCGUUCGGCGUCUGUUUGACGUGCCCGGGUCGGCCCAAAUUAGUAUCCACUCCGGGGCGUCACACCCGACGCCGUCGUGCCCCACAUCGCUGCUACGGCCGAGGGGAACCAACCCGAGUUCGUGCGACCACAAGGUCCCACCCGACCGCCGCAGCUGCGCAACGCGACCCUAACCCUCCUCCGCCGAUCCUGGGAGGAUCCCCAGCACUAUCACUGACCUCCCAAAACUGCCGGAGAGGCCGCGCGUGCAUGCCUUAGCUGCGGCCAUGUCUUCGGCUCUAUCGUAGCAGCCGCGUCGUCGCUGCCUCCCGCUGCCGCCAAGGGUCCCAACCCCUCCCUCUGGGUGCGGUGACCACUCACUGGCCGGAGCUCAUGUUGCCGUGCCACCAGCAGUCCCCUUCCUGAUGCCCUAGCUCGGCUCAAGCACUCACCCGAGGCUAUUUUGGGGCCGAUCUUCAUUUUUGGUCACCGAAGAUUUCGGCGAGCUUCCGAAGCAUGGGCACCUUACUCUUGGGACCCUAUGGAGUGCCAUGCUCACCUUUUUUGCAAUCAGUGAGGCUCCGGUGAGCGCAGCGAUCUUGGUCGCUUCCGGGAUCAAGUCAUCGGUGGUUUCUCUUGCUGUUACGAAGCCUUCUGGCCAUCGAUUGCGCUCCGAACAGUGAGCACGAGCAUCCUUGCAUUGAGUCGAAUCAAAUUGAUCGGUUGGUGGGAUCCGUUGCAACACGGAUCGGGGUAAUGAGCUCGAAACUCAUGUUUAUGUAUUAAUUAUAUACUAUUUAAUGCUAUAAUAGGAUCACAUGUUUUAUGCAUUAUGGAUACCAAGUACUACCCCAACAGCAUGAAUUUGUUGUUGUUCGGGAGCUGUUGCAGAGUUAAAACAUGGCCCCACGGCGUCGUUCGGUGAAAAUUCACCAAACGAACGCGAGUUAGUUGGUGGGUUUUGGUGUUCUAGCAUUGUGGAUAGCUCAGGAACCCCGCCAUGCCUUGUUGGCUGGUUGCUACAGCCAUCCUCGAAGUAUGAAGGUGGCAGAUUAGUAGCAGAAUGGUUUUGGAGCCUAUUUCGGCGAUUUCGGAAACCUGGUUCGGCAGAUUUCUGCGUAGUCGAUCCUUUAGUUUUUUGUUGAGGGUUGUUGCUUCCCGGGCAUUUGUUUUGGAGCAUUUGGGGACAGCGUUUAAUUACAAUAGGGAUCAGGGAUUUUCGGAGCAGUGUGUGCGGAAGCGCCCGGUAAGUUCCAGAAGUUCCGGCGAGUUUUGAGUUAUCGAUUUCGAUAGCCAUUUGUUUGGGUUGUUUGGGAGUCUCUUUGGGUAGAGCUUGACUUAAUGGAUCUUUGAUAGGUCCGGGGGAUGGCUUCACGUGUUCUAUAAUUCAGGUUCUCGGUGGUAUAGGUGGGUAUUUCGAUCCGAAGUCGAUUCAACGGUAUACACUCAUUGUCUUCUUUCGUUUUUUUCUUUUUUAUGAUUGCCUACUUUCUCAUGCACGUAUAUUGAAUAUCUUGCAUGACAUUGAGUAUUCAUCAAUCUACUCUACGGUUACCUUGUCUUAUAGUAUCAUGAUUAUAUGUUAAGUAUCUUGUACACUAGGUUCUCAUUAGUCUACUCUAUGGUUGUUCUAUCUUGUAGAGUUGUGAUUGAUCUAGUAGGUUGAGUAGUUCUUCGUUGAUUGAUUAUCGUUGUAUGACUUGAUGUUUGGUUAUAUUUUGUGCUUAGCAAUACGAUUAUAUGUACUUGAUAGGUUAGUGAUAUAGCGACAUUCCUUCAGAAAGAUAGACCUGAUUUGGUCGGAUAUUGUUGUGUAUGUUCUUUCAGCUUUUUGCCGUUGUUGGCCAUUGAGCAUAUUACAUCGAUUGCCACAGCUCAUGUGGAUUUCACGUACACCAGCGGUCUCAUCCACUGCAUAAUGCAUGGAUCUAUUUUAUCUUAGGAUAGGUAAAUUGUAUGCUCUUGAAUGUGGAAUAGAACCUAAUAUUGCAAGUCAUAACAUUUCAUGUAUGAGAUUGGACAUUGGUUAUUGAGAACCAUGAAUAUACUUGUGAACUAGUGGUAAGACUAGAGUAUGGAUUUAGACAAAACUUGUGUAGCAUUAGGUGUAUUGAUAGUUGUAGAACUUGAACCUAGUGACAUGUAUUGAGUGGAAUUUCAAGUGUUAAUGAAGGUUUGAGUCAUUGGAUAUAUAGUGUGACAACUAGGAUCUUGCCAUUGGGAUUGAAAUAUAUCCCCAAAGGUUGUUAUUGGGAUUGAAAUAGAUCUAUAGUAAAUUGUGACAACUAGCACCUUGCCAUUGGGAUUGACAUAGAUCCCCAAAGGUUGCUAUUGGGAUUGAAAUAGAUCCCAAGAUGUUGUCACAAGGGUCAAUAGUGAGUUUUCUUGGUUGAGAGAAUUAGAUCAUACUCGCAUAGUCUGUUCCAGCUUGUGGAGGUCGCGACUCCAUAAGCAAUGAGCUCCGGAGUGCCAUGCGUAUGGGUUGAGUGGUUGAUGGCUCAAGGUGGGUGAUUGGGUAGUGUAGCUCCUUCCCACGUGGCUUAGAGAUGUGAGUUGGGCUCGACCUCAGAGUGAGCCGAUAUGAUUGGGUCAUGAGGUAAAAGAGGAAGACAACUGAGUAUAGUAGGUCUUGUCUUUGGUUACCUUAUGGAGUAUUAUAGUAGUGUCAUAUAUUUGGUGACGGGUCAAUUAUGUCUCCUCAACAAGCAGCCCAAGGUCGGUGAUUACGCGACUCCCCAUGUGGCUGAGAGGGUUGAGUUGGGCUUUGAUCGUAUGGCAAGCCCCCUGAUUGGGUCAAGAGUAAGUAGGGGAUCAAGUUGAGCAUUUAGGGCCUUGGAACGUGUUUUCAUUCGUAAAGGCAUAAUAGUGUUUAUUCCAGUUUAUGUGUAGUGUAGUUGUUUACUACUUGGUUGUUGUAUUUACUUUUGUCUUGAUUAGACCUAGUGGAAAAGUCAGCAAAGUCGGCAGCCGAACCCACUGGAAACUUCUUUUAGUUCUCACCCCUGUUUUGCAGAGCCAACCAGGAGCGGUGCGGCACCAAAUCGACCAUGGGCAUUGCGCCUUAGAUAGAAGGGUCAUUAAGUAUAGGUUAUCUGUGUUCAAGUAAAAUAAAAAAUUGUAAAGUUAUUUGGAACAGAAAUGUAAUUGAGAACAAAGGUUGUAUUUUGAGGAAAUUGCAUACACCAUGUAUUAUGUAUCUAAGUUGGAAAAUGUAUGUAUAAAUGUGAUUGUUCCAAUGUUGUAAUAGUUAGAUUUACAUUCUCGCUCUUGUGAUAGGCCCUCGCGUAGAGCUGUAUUAUAUUAUUUUUUCUGGGUGAAAUUUGAUGUAUUUGCUUUUAUUUACUCCUUGGACGGAUAAAGAAAAGUUUAUUCGUUCAGCGGGUCUGUGCAUGUGCUUGCAUAGCCUUCACUGUGAAACAGGGUGGGGUGUGACAGAAACUAAGAAACAAACUCAGUGUAGCCCCACUAUUUAUAACAAAUCAGGCAUUGCUCUUAGAAGAAGAGUAGAUAGUUUAAGAAGAAAGCAAAAAUCAGGAAGGCAUACGGUUAGAUCGAGAGGCUAUACAACCUGUCAGGCCCAAGUACACCUUUCCAACCAUUUAUAUUGGCGAAUGCAUUCCACUUCGCCUCCACAACUUGUAGGAGGGCAUGUUGCUAAGGAGUACAACGAGCACGCCAUCCGAGACAACAAAAGUGGUCACAAAAACCCCGAAAAGAGAGAGAGGAGGUGAGCCUAUACUCUUUGCUAGGUCAUGGGGAAGACAGCGACAGCCUACUCCACAAUGUCCUGGUAUACAUGGAGAUAAUUGUAAGGAAGUGAAUUCUCGAAAUCCGAGAGUUGGACAUCGCUCUGAAGCGACUAACUGUCGAGUAGGUAGGCUUCGAAAGAGCCGAAGAUGUCUAAAACUUAAAAAGUGCAUUGGGGUUGUAGUCCACGAGAGCAAAUAGUGCAAAUCUGCACUUGGCAGAUUUUUGCUCUCGGGGACCGGUACCUGGUAUGGGGGACCGGUUCCCGUAAGCAUGGUGUGCUGCAGAAAAUCUCUGUGCACAAGUAUUGCUCUCGGGGACCAGUCCCUGUUCGGAGAGACCGGUCUCCGUACGCGCAACCAGUGAGAACAAAGAAAAUUUGGCUAAGUCCUGAGAGCUCUGCUCUCGGGGACCGGUCCCUGGCGGGGAGAGACCGGUCCCCGUACGCGUAGAGAUUGGCUAAGAGCCUCAGCCUGCAUGAAAGGCUCUCGGGGACCGGUCCUUCCAGGGACAGACCGGUCCCCGAGCACGAAAACUGCCCAGGCAGAGCAGUUUGAAAGAAGCAAAGUUGAGGGGUUUGGGUGCAAUUGUUAUAUUAGUUGAGGGGUAUAGAAGGGAUGAGCCCUCUCUUCUCUCUUAUUCUCACCCCAAACACACAUUUCUCUCUCACUCUCUAAGCUCUCUCUCUCUCCCUUUUCUUGAAGCAAAGAAGAAGGAGAGGAAGAAAAGGAAGGAGAAGAAGGUGGAGAAGAAGGUGAAGCAUGCAAGGAGAAGGCCUUGAUCAUCUUCCUCUUCCUCCUCACACCAUUGUAGCUAGCUCAAGAGGUGAGCUUCUUAACCCUAAUGGUAGAAACCUAGGGUUUUGGAAUUUCUAGCUUUGUGAUUGGGUCAAAUGGAUAGGUGUCUAAACACGUUGGCGAAGACGGAUUGAGCAUUUGUCUAGCCGGUGAAGAGUUAUCGGCAAAACAAGACCGAUUGGGCUUCGUUUCCACCUAGGAGGUCGAAGCGACAUAGAAGCAAGUGUCGAGUAGCGUUCCUAGCACCCCGACAUUGUCGAAAGGUAGGGGGUGUCAUCCUGAAGCAACCGGGUUCCUCUCUAUGUCUUAGUACUUCAUGAUUUGCAUCUCUUGCAUGUUGCAUUGUAGGAUUGCAUGUUAUUCCCUUCCUUAUGCUUGCUACAAUAUCAGUGUAUGAGUUGAAUGCAUGAUGAUGGUUAGAUGAGGAUUGGGUCUUGACAUUGGAUUCUAUAGUGUCGAGAAAAGAGAUGAACUCGAUGAUUGUUAAAGACGUAAUGAGUGGCAUUGACUGUUAAGCAAACAAGAUCGAGUGGCAUAUAACUUAGUGUAAAUGACACUAGUAGCAUGUGAACUUACAAAUAGGUGGAUUCCCUAGUAAAUGGCUCGUUGGACAAGAAUGUAAUGUAGCCAAACAUUCGUAUUUGGACUUUGGGAUAGGUGGAUUCCCGAGUGACUUGUAGCCCUAGCCAGUAGGGUAUCCUCGAGUUGAGAGGAUAGAUCAUAUUCACAGUCUGUUCAUACUUGUGGUGGUCGCACCACCCAGGUCUUCGUGCACUCUGGAGUUUAGCGCGAGAAGGGCAGAGUUGAUGUCCCGCAGACGGUCCCGGAUUUGAGAGCGAGGUGAGUCUCUUUACCAUAUGGGAUGGCGAGAUGAGUCGUGGGUGAACCCAAGGGAUCGCCAUGGAUUGAUUGAGCACGAGUAUAGCUGUCACGCCGCGAGACUGCUACCCAUUUGGUCCGGUUCGGGCACGUAGAACAGACGCCGAACGGACAGCACCUCCCCUGUCCGCCCAAGGCUCAAACACGGGAUCAUGUACAAGAAUUCGCCCAGGAACAAUUCAAUACAUACAUGAUCCAUACAACGACAAUAGAAGCACCACGAGUGCUUAACAACAAGAGCAAGUAACAUAAGUAUAUAAACAAGUGCAAAAAGAGAGAGAGCUCUAUCUAUUACAUCACAAUCAUUUACCGUUUACAUUUGUUUUAUCCAAAAUAUAGGUACAAGUUUAUUCACAUCUCUACAAAAUGCAUCUCACAACCUAUACAUCAUCUACUCUCAUAUACAUAGGCACCUCUAAUGCAGUAGAAGAGCUACUAAUACUAGGGCGCUAAGCCCUUACCGCGAUCCUCGCCCGGAGCGCUCGUACUCGGCCCUGCAACAAAGUGGGGUGAGAACUAUCGUCCAUAGUUCCCAGUGGGUUCGGCCGCCGACUCCGUCAAUCUCCCUACUAGGUCAAAGUGGGCACAAGCAGAUAGAUAGGUAGAUAGAUAUGCGAAAGCAGUAACAACAUAAUAAGAAAGCUAUGCUACUGUGCCCGAAUCAUAUACAAUGUAUGCAUACUCAACGUGAUAGAUAAUCAACUAACAUGCCACUAUGUCCAAGAAGUAAUGUUAUUUACUUGUUCAUCAAUUUUCUUGACUUAUCCAAUCCUUGGCCAACCCUGAGGUUCGCCCACGACUCACAUGCAUCUCAUGGUAAGGAAACUCAACUCGCUCACAAACCCGAGACCGUCUGCGGGACCCCAUAAGGCUAUCCCUCAUGUGACAAAACUCCGGAGCACAUGCUUGCGUGGAGCGACCACCACAAGCUCUGAACAGACAGUGAGUAUGAUCCAAUCCUCUCAACUCGAGGAUACCCUAACCACUAGGGCUAACAGUCACUCGGGAAUCCACCUAUCCCAAUGUCCAUAUGCAAGUGUUCAACUAUACUAAGUUCUUGUUCAAUGACUCAUUAUUAGGGAAUCUGCCUAUCCCUAAGUUCACAUGUCAAGUGUCACUUUUACACUAAGUUAUAUGCCACUUGUUCUGUUGUCAUUGUUAUUCACAUGCCACUCGUUUUGUCUUAUCAUUCAUCGAGUCCAUCUCUUACCUUAGCACUAUAGGAUUCAAUGUCUCGACCCAAUCCCCAUCUAUCCACUAUAUCAAGCAUUCCACUCAUACUAUGAUAUUAUCUAGGAAAGCAUAAGGAAAUGGAAAUGCACAUUUAUCCUACAAUGCAUAUAUGCAAGAGAUGCAAGAUUUAAAAUACACUAAGACAUAAAGAGGAGCCCGGUUGCUUCGGGAUGACACCACCCACCUUCUGGCGUUGUCACGACACUAAGAAUGAAGUUCGGCGAUCUUACGAUGUCGUCUCGGCCACCAAGCCGGAAACGAAGCUCGGAAGGUCCUUUUUGCCAAUAACUUUGCACCGGCUCGACGAAUCGUCGAACCGUCUUCGCCUACGCGUUUAAACACCUAACAAUUAGGUUUACACUUGAUCAAUUUAGAUCAAACCCAUCGAUUUCUCGAAAACCCAUUUCGGAGCCCUAGGUUGCGAUUAACGCAAUCGACUCCAAUUAAACCCUAGAUUCAUGCAAUUAAGACACCUCCAGCAUCAUAGAGUUUAACCAAAACCAAUUCUAGAGUAUUUAAACCUAAACCCUAGAAGAUACCAGUAAUGGGUUUGGAGCUUACCACCAAGAGCUUCUCUAACUUGAGGAAGAGAUGAAGAAGGUGAUCCUCUUCUUCUGUCUUCUUCUCCUUCUACUCCUUCUCCUCCUUCUACUCCUUCUCCUCCUUCCACCUUAGAGAGAGAGAGAGAGAGCAAGAGCUUAGAGAGAGAGAGAGCUAGGUUUGUGUUUGGGGAAGAAAAUGAGAAGAGAGAGAGCUCACUCUCAUAUAGCCCCAACUCAUGCUAUAAUUGCAUAAAAGCCCCUCAACUUUGCCCACAUGACACAGCCCAUUUCUGGGCUUUUCGUGGUACGGGGUCCGAACCCUAAAGCUAGGGUCCGGACCCCGAGAGUUGGGAAACUCUGAAAAUUGCAAAUCCUCCAACCCAAAUGGGUUUUCGCAGCUACGGGGUCCAGACCUUAUCAGUAGGGUCCGAACCCCGAGAGUUACCAAAGUGUGCAAAAUGCAUACUUGCAAUUUCAACAGCCCAAGUGGACUUUUCGCAGCUACGGGGUCCGGACCCUGCUGCUAGGAUCCGGACCCCGAGAGUGGAAAACAUGCAAAAAUGCAGAUUUGCAAACUCCAACUCUCCAAGGUCCUCCCUCAAUUCACUUUUCGCAUUUUCGCCGCAUUCGGACCUUCCGAAGCACGGCCAAUCGACAAUAAGUCGAUUCCAAACGAAGUUCAACUCUCGGAUUUCGAGAAUGCACUUCCUUACAAUAGCAUUGUUAAUUGAACAUUUGCUUGUUGGACAUGGAUAGUGGACAAAGUGGCAUGUUAGUAAACCAUUUACUAUAUGAUACAUGCAUACAUGACUUAUGAUUGGGCAUAGUAGCAUAGUUUUUCUAUUAUGUCAUUUACAGCUUUCAUAUCUAUCUAUCUAUUAUCUGCUUUUGCCCACUCAAACCUAGUGGGAAAAUCGGCGGAGUCGGCGGCCGAACCCACUGGGAACUAUGGACAAUAGUUCUCACCCCACUUUGUUGCAAGGCCUAGUACGAGCACGCCGGGUGAGGACCGCGGCAAGGGCAUCGCGCCCGAGCAGUAGUACAUAGUAGCUUUCCUGUUUUGCAUUAGUAUUACCCUAUGUAUUGAGAGACUAUAUAGGUGAGGAUUAGAGACCUGUUUAUGUAUUUUGGUGAUGAUCUAAUAAACCAUGUAUACAUUUUUGGAAAGAAUGUAAAUGUAACUCGGGGUAAAUGAAUGCAAUGGAUGUAAUAGCUAGUAGAUCUCUCUUUGUUCACUUGUAUGCACUUGUGGAUUCUUGCUCUUAGUAUGUUGGCUCUGUUUGUGCCUCUGUCGAUUGUGUAUAUUUAGAAUUUCAUUUCUGGGUGAAUUCUUGUACACGAUCUGAUUGUUUAGCCUUAGGCGGACAGGGGAGGUGCUGUCCGUUCGGCGUUUGUUCGACGCGCCCGAACCGGACCAAAUUGGUAGCGGUCGCGGGGCGUGACAGAUAAAUAUGGUAUCAGAGCAAAUAAGAGCAAGUAAAGAGAGAAAGUCUAGGAUCGACCUAGGAGACCCUAGGUUGGUAAACCCUAAGGUUAUAGGUGCGUGAGUGGAACGUGAACCUAUAACGGUGGCGGAAGUUGAUUCGAUUGGGUCGAAAUGGAGUAUAUGUCUCUAGUAGUUGCUAGAGAUGGAUUCAAGUGGUAUGAGUUCUUGUCUUGAGGUGGUUACGUUGGCUGCCGACAACAUGACGCCGAGAGCCUAGAACGAAUACACUUGUGUGCUUCCGCCCGAUUUCGUUGUUGAUUGUUGAGUCAUAGUCGCAGCGAUAUUGACGGGUUAAGAUGGUUAACCAAGUGUUUGCGUUUCAGGAGCUAAUGGCCCCGAAGAGACGCUACACGCGUAGAUCGGCUCCGGCACCGCCUCCCGAGGUGCCAGAGCAGGUUGAACCUCCACGAGCCCUAGAGCCUCCUGUGGUGCUUGCCCAAGCCGGGCCGAGUGAGAUGCAGGAGUUGCGGGCACAAGUGACCUCACUUGCGGGUCAAUUCGGGUUGCUCCGAGAGUUGAUGGAGCGGUAAUUAGCAGCGACGACUGCCAUGGCGACGGACGGUCGUGUUCCACCCGCACCCUCGGCGCGUGAGCCCGAAGCGGCUGAGGGUGAGGGUAUAGCGACAAUUCCGGUGGCAGCACAUCCCCCGCCGAUAGUCGUCCCUCCUGCGGCGUCGGGAUCAAGGACACCCGAUGCGGCGGCCAAGGAAGCAGAGAAGGAAGGCGCGUUGGCGGCUCUAAUCAAGUUCAACAAGUUUCAUCCGCCCAUCUUCGAGAGGGAGAUCGUGGAGCUGGUGAUGGCCGAGUCGUGGGUCGACUUGAUGGAGACGCUCUUCGAGGACCUGUCCACCUCGGAGAGGGACAAGGUGCACCUCGCCACACACUGUUUGAAAAAGACGGCGAAAGUGUGGUGGAAGAGAGUGAAGCAAGAUAGGCCUUUAGACCUUCCACCAAUGCUGUGGGAAGAGUUCAAGAGGGCGAUGUUCGCCAACUACUUCCCCGAUACUCAGAAGCGGAAGCUGCAAAAGAAGUUCCGCAAAUUAAGACAGAGGGACCGCACUGUGGCGGAUUAUGAGCAAGAGUUUUCCCACAUCAUUGACUGUGUCCCGGAUGUGGUGAAGGAUGAUAAGGACAGGGCCGAUUGGUUCUUGAGGGGGCUUCGGCUGGGAAUCUACAAAGCCAUAUAGAUAUUCAAGCUCACGACCUUUGCGAAGGUAUUCGAUCGGGCGCUGUGGGCAGAGCACGGAGAUGACCAUGUGCGCAAGGAGCAUGAGCUUUUGGCCGAGUCCAAGGAUAAAGGCAAGAAAUGUCAAGGCGGUGGUUCGGGAGGGACAGACGAGUUCUAAGAAGCCCCCGAAGUAUCCGCAAAUUCAGUACAAGGGCUGUGGAGAGCGGCGGUGUGUCAUUUACGGCGAAGACCACCAACCGUCGCGUUGUAAUCAGCGCCAAGGCAAGUGCUUCAAGUGUGGGCAACCGGGGCACUUCAUACGUGACUACCCGAGAGGUGGAGCCUCGCCUGCCCCGUCUAUUGCAUCGGUGCCGGUGAUCCCAGCUCAUUAUGGAGGAGCUCCACCGACCGCUGUGUCGGCGGGACGUGCGAUGGCACCGCAUCAGCCCGAGAUGACACGAUCGGCACCGAGCAGGCGGGUGUUCGCAGCUCAGACACAAGCUGAGGAACCUGCUGAGCCCGGGGAGCGCCACGUGGUGGCAGGUAUGAUUUUAAUUAAAGGAGUUCGCUCCCGAGCUAUGUUUGACACAGGUGCCACGCAUUCAUUCAUAAAUAGAUCAUUUGCACAAAUGCAUAACAUCGAGAUACAGAUGAGUAAAAGCACUUGGCGUGUAUCGGGCCCUGGGCGUGAUUUUCUAAUCCGCAAGGAGUGUUUAGCGUGCCCAGUACAAAUAGGCGAUUGGAUAAUGCCGAUCCGCAUGCUGGUGCUCAAAAAGCUGAAAGCGCUCGACGUCAUGUUAGGCAUGGAUUGGCUUUCGAAGUACCAUGUGGCGAUCGACUGCAAGAGCAAAGUGCUUACCUUUCGUGAGCCGGGACAAGAGGAGUUUACGUAUCGGGCUUGUCAGAACUCAUGCUUCGCCGCAACGGUGUUCGGGACGAGGGCAAGGAAGUUGGUCAACAACCGCUGCGCAGCAUACCUGGCGACCGUUGUGGAGGUAGACCGAGUAGCUCCCACCUUGGAGGAGUUGUCGGUAGUAUGGGAGUUCCCGGAUGUGUUUCCUGCGGAGUUGCCGGGGAUACCGCCGAAUCAGGAGAUUGAGUUUGUCACAGACUUGAUUCCCUGUACCGCGCCGAUCUCGAAGGCCCCAUAUAGAAUGGCGCUGGCGGAAUUAAAGGAGUUGAGGGAUCAAUUGCAAGACCUCCUCGACAAGCAGUUUAUUCGACUGAGUGUAUCACCGUGGGGAGCCCCGGUGUUGUUCGUGCGAAAGAAAGACGGAUCGUUCCAACUUUGUGUGGAUUAUCGAGAAUUGAACAGAGUCACGAUCAAGAACAAGUACCUACUUCUCCGAAUCGAUGACUUGUUCGACCAAUUGCAGGAGUCGUGUGUGUAUUCAAAGAUAGAUUUGCAAUCCGGUUACCACCAACUGAAGCCGGAAAACGUAAAGAAAACCGCGUUUCGCAUGCGAUAUGGAAAUUAUGAAUUCACGGUUAUGCCUUUUGGGCUUACGAACGCCCCGGCGGCAUUCAUGGAUUUGAUGAACCGUGUCUUCAAGGAGUUCCUGGACCGAUUUGUCGUGGUCUUCAUAGACGACAUACUGGUCUAUUCUCGCAAUGACGAAGAACACGCUGAGCAUUUGAGAUUAGUGCUUCGAGUCCUUUGGGAGGAGAAGCUAUGUGCUAAGUUGAAGAAGUGUGACUUCUGGCUCCGAGAGGUCGCCUUCUUAGUGCACGUGAUUUCCGAGGGUGGAGUCUCAGUAGACCCGAGAAAAGUUGAGGCAAUCAAGGAUUGGCCGCGCCCAACAAAUGUCACGGAGGUCCAAAGCUUCGUGGGUUUGGCGGGCUACUAUAGACGGUUUGUAGAGGGCUUUUCGAAGAUAGUAAUUCCACUUACCCGUCUAACUCGGAAAGGCACCAAGUUCGUUUGGAGCGACGAGUGCGACCGGAGUUUUAAAGUAUUGAAGGAGAAAUUGACCUCGACACCAGUACUUGCCUUACAGGUGCAAGGUGAAGACUUUGUGAUCUAUAGCGAUACAUCUUAUUUGGGUUUGGGGUGUGUCUUGAUGCAGGGCGGGAAGGAAAUCGCUUAUGCGUCCCGUCAGCUGAAGAGCUAUGAGAAGAAUUACCCCAUCCAUGAUCUAGAGCUUGCGACGGUGAUCUUCGCCGUGAAGUUGUGGAGGCACUACUUGUAUGGUGCGCAUUGCGAAAUUUACACCGACCACAAGAGUCUGAAGUAUCUGUUUAUACAGAAAGAGCUUAACAUACGACAGCGGCGGUGGUUAGAACUGUUAAAGGAUUAUAAUGUGGAUAUCCUCUACCACCCCGGAAAAGCGAAUGUGGUCGCUGAUGCACUUAGUCGCAAGUCGGCGGAGAACCACGCGUUAUAGGUCACGAAUCAGAAGCCUCUACGGAAGGAAAUGGGGUGAAUGGACCUUUAGGUUGUAGCUCCGGAGAUUCCGGCACAGCUGAUGAUGCUCGUUGUCCAACCGACCUUAUUGGAGAGGAUUAAGAAUCUACAACCCGCGAACUCGAGUCUCCAAAAGGUGCGGCGCGACAUUGAGGAAGGUCGUGGCGGCGAUUUCACAGUGGACGCCAGUGGCGCGCUUCGAUUCAGAAAUCGGUGGUGUGUACCGAACGAUGAGGAGAUUCGAAAGUUGAUUUUGCAAAAGGCACAUUGGUCUCCUUAUAGUGAUCGCCUAGGCGGCACCAAGAUGUACCAUGGCUUGAGAAUGUACUAUUGGUGGCCGAGGAUGAAGGCUGAUGUUGGAUGCUUCGUGGCGAAGUGCUUAGUAUGCCAACAAGUGAAGGCGGAGCGCCGAUUUCCAGCGGUAGAGCUUCAGAGCUUACCAAUCCCCGUUUGGAGAUGGGAAGACGUGUCAAUAGACUUCGUGGUCGGCUUGCCUCGCUCAACGGGCGGCCAUGAUGCAAUAUGGGUGAUUGUGGAUCGAUUAAAGAAGUCGGCUCACUUUUUGCCGAUCUACACCACUUGGGCAGGUGACAAGCUAGCGCAGGUGUAUCUUGACGAGAUAGUGAGACUACAUGGGGUGCCUAAGUCGAUUGUGUCGGAUCGCGACUCCCGGUUCACUUCACAUUUUUGGAAAAGCCUGCAGGAAGCCCUGGGCACACGGCUCGACUUCAGUACAGCAUUCCAUCCUCAGACAGAUGGGCAAACAGAGAGAACUAUUCAAACUUUGGAGGAUAUGUUGCGAGCGUGUGUCAUCGACUAUAAGGGAAGUUGGUGCAAUUACCUGCCGAUGGCCGAGUUCGUCUACAACAAUAGUUAUCACGCGAGUAUGGGGAUGGCACCGUUCGAAGCUCUUUACGGGCGGAAAUGCCGAUCUCCUAUACACUAGAGCGAUGUGGGCGAGCGAGCUGAAUUCGGGCCCGAUGUGCUGCGAGAAGCAGAGGAGAAAGUCCGCCUUGCUCGCAAGAGAUUGCUCAUGGCGCAAUCAAGGCAAAAGAGCUAUGCGGAUAAACGCCGUAGAGAAUUGGAAUUCACGGUAGGCGACCACGUGUUCUUGAAGGUCUCACCCAUGAGGGGUGUAAAGCGGUGUUGGAGUGCGGGGAAAGCUAAGUCCACGGUACAUUGGACCAUAUGAGGUAUUGGAGCGGAUUAGUACGGUAGCUUAUCGGCUAGCUUUGCCGCCGAAACUUGCGGAUGUGCAUAACGUAUUCCAUAUCUCUAAUCUUCGUAAAUACGUUCAUGAUCCCGAGCACGCUCUACUAUAUAAGCCACCGAAACUCCAAGAGGACUUGAAUUAUGAAGAAUUUCCGGUGAUGGUCAUUGCUCGAGAAGUGCGAAAACUAAGAAAUCGCGAGAUUCCUUAUGUAAAGAUUCGGUGGAGCAAUCAUGAUGAUCGCGAGGCCACCUGGGAACUCGAGGAUCUGAUGAGAAAGCAUCACCCUCACUUGUUUGAGGAAUAGGGUAUGAGUUUAAGUUUAAGUUAGGGAUUGGAUUGGUUUCGAGGACGAAAUUUCUUUUUAGGAGGGGAAGAUGUAAAGAAGUGAAUUCUCGAAAUCCGAGAGUUGGACAUCGCUCUGAAGUGACUAACUGUCGAGUGGGUAGGCUUUGGAAGAGCCAAAGAUGUCUAAAAUCCAAAAAGUGCAUUAGAGUUGUAGUCCACCAGAGCAAAUAGUGCAAAUCUGCACUUGGCAGAUUUUUGCUCUCGGGGACCGGCCCCUAGUAUGGGGGACCGGUUCCCGUAAGCAUGGUGUGCGGCAGAAAAUCUCUGCGCACAAGUAUUGCUCUCGGGGACCGGUCUCUGUUGGGAGAGACCGGUCCCCAUACGUGCAACCAGUGAGAACAAAGAAACUUUGGCUAAGUCCUGAGAGCUCUGCUCUCGGGGACCGGUCCCUGGCGGGGAGAGACUGGUCCUCGUACGCGUAGAGAUUGGCUGAGAGCCUCAGCCUGCAUGAAAGGUUCUCGGGGACCGGUCCCUCUAGGGACAGACCGGUCCCCAAGUGCGAAAACUGCCCAGGCAGAGCAGUUUGAAAGAAGCAAAGUUGAGGGGUUUGGGUGCAAUUGUUACAUUAGUUGAGGGGUAUAGAGAGGAUGAGCCCUCUCUUCUCCCUCAUUCUCACCCCAAACAUACAUUUCUCUCUUUCUCUCUAAGCUCUCUCUCUCUCUUUUCUUGAAGCAAAGAAGAAGGAGAAGAAGAAAAGGAAGGAGAAGAAGGUGGAGAAGAAGGUGAAGCAAGCAAGGAGAAGGCCUUGGUCAUCUUCCUCUUCCUCCUAACACCAUUGUAGCUAGCUCAAGAGGUGAGCUUCUUAACCCUAAUGGUAGAAACCUAGGGUUUUGGGAUUUCUAGCUUUGUGAUUGGGUCAAAUGGACCCCUAGCAUGCUUGUUAGUAGAUGAAUGCUAGAAUCUAGAGCCUUGAUGGAGUGGUUUUGCUAUAGUGCAAGCCUAGGGCACCCAAAUUGGGGUUUUCCUAAGUAGAGUGGUUUGAUCUCAAUUGAUAGCAUCUAAACCUAAUUGAUAGGUGCCUAAAAACUUUGGCGAAGACGGAUUGAGCAUUCGUUGAGCCGGUGAAGAGUUAUCGGCAAAACAAGACCGAUUGGGCUUCGUUUCCACCUAGGUAGUCGAAGCGACAUAGCAGCAAGUGCCCAGUAGCGUUCCUAGCACCCCGACAUUGUCGAAAGGUGGGGGGGUGUCAUUCCGAAGCAACCGGGUUCCUCUCUAUGUCUUAGUACUUCAUGAUUUGCAUCGCUUGCAUGUUGUAUUGUAGGAUUGCAUGUUAUUCCCUUCCUUAUGCUUGCUACAAUAUCAGUGUAUGAGUUGAAUGCAUGAUGAUGGUUAGAUGCGGAUUGGUUCUUGACAUUGGAUUCUAUAGUGCCGAGAAAAGAGAUGAACUUGAUAAUUGUUAAAGACGUAAUGAGUGGCAUUGACUGUUAAGCAAACAAGAUCGAGUGGCAUAUAACUUAGUGUAAAUGACACUAGUAGCAUGUGAACUUACAAAUAGGUGGAUUCCCUAGUAAAUGGCUCGUUGGACAAGAAUGUAAUGUAGCCAAACAUUCGUAUUUGGACUUUGGGAUAGGUGGAUUCCCGAGUGACUUGUAGCCCUAGCCAGUAGGGUAUCCUCGAGUUGAGAGGAUAGAUCAUAUUCACAGUCUGUUCAUACUUGUGGUGGUCGCACCACCCAGGUCUUCGUGCACUCUGGAGUUUAGCGCGAGAAGGGCAGAGUUGAUGUCCCGCAGACGGUCCCGGAUUUGAGAGCGAGGUGAGUCUCCUUACCAUAUGGGAUGGCGAGAUGAGUCGUGGGUGAACCCAAGGGAUCGCCAUGGAUUGAUUGAGCAAGAGUAUAGUAUUGUUAAUUGAACAUUUGUUUGUUGGACAUGGAUAGUGGACAUAGUGGCAUGUUAGUAAACCAUUUACUAUAUGAUACAUGCAUACAUGACUUAUGAUUGGGCAUAGUAGCAUAAUUUUUCUAUUAUGUCAUUUACAGCUUUCAUAUCUAUCUAUCUAUUAUCUGCUUUUGCCCACUCGGACCUAAUGGAAAAAUCCGCGGUGUCGGCGGCCGAACCUAUUGGGAACUAUGGACAAUAGUUGUCACGCCCCGCGACCAACCGCCAAUUUGGACCGGGUCGCGGCGCCGACGACUGACCGCCGAACGGACAGGGGUUUCCCCUGUAUGCGGACAGAGUCUCCACUGUACGUUCUAGGCGUCGCAAUCCAAACAAUCAACGAAUGUUCCAACUAGGAACGGAUAUUAAUCCAGAUUGCGUAAGGAAGUAUCAAAUACAUAAAACUAACUGCUAUUACACGCAUUCAUUUUACAUCCACAGUAUACAUUUGCUUAACUUCCAAAUAUAAUUACAAUAUUACAAUUUAUUACAAGUUUGCACUUUGUCUCUAAACCCCUCAAGCUAUACCACCAACUCGGGUAGUGCUACCUCGGUCUCUGCGGUAGGGCGCUAUCUACGAAGCUACGCCCUCGCCUUGUGCCGCCGCGCCGCACACGUACAACCUGAAAACACCUCGAAACAAUGUGGGGUGAGAACCAACUCCAUGGUUCCCAAUGGAUACGGCCACCCAAGGGAAAAGCUCGACCGAUAGGUCCGAGGAGGCACUGCAACAUGUUAGUUCAACAAUAUACAACAGAUAUAUUCAAUUGAAAUACAUGCCAUGCCUCAUGAUAUGCGAUAUGGAAAUCAUGCAGCUCUAUGCAACAACUGGUAGAUCAUUUGAUUCUACGUUUAAUUGGCUACUCUUAGCUCAUAUCUUCGCUCUAAGGUUUCUAUUACCUUAGGAUCUCAACUCAGUCCACUGGCUUCUAAGGUUUCUAUUACCUUAACUCAAGCCUCUAUCUCUAGCUCAUAGGGUUUCUACUACCUCUAUCAAGCUAACCACCCAACUCGGCUUCGAGUCAAUCAUCCGCGGAUAGUCCACGCACUGGCUGCUCCUCAGCCUACCGCUCUUUCUGUCUCAGCCUCCUAGCGGCGAAGUCGUCGCACACGCUAAGCACGGCUCAAGUCGCAUGACUUGACCAUCUGGCGGCGAUCACGUUGCUCUUACCCAGCGUGAGCUUGAGUCAUGACACACCGUCUGGCGGCGAACGAAUCACACCUCACCCAACAACGGUACAUGUCAGACUCAGCCACCUGGAAGCACCCGCAUCGUACUUACCCAGCAUGGAUUCAGUCUGCUCUGGCGGUCUGAUCCUCAAAUGGCUUAACCAUCCGGCGGCGAAAUCGUCGCACAAACGCCACAACAAUGGUUCAAGCCCCGGGCGGUGAUCUCCAUGUGAUCGCCCCCAAUCCUCCCUCGGUACCAAGCUCAGCGGUGAAGUCGUCGUACACGCCCUAGCCUCUACCAGGGUCAUCACAAGUCAUGGGAUUCCGGAAUCCACUUUCCACAGGUCGAGGGUCCAUAGCCAACCCUAUACUGUCGACCUAGCUCAUCCUAGUGGCUGUACCACUAUAUCCAUCAACCUAGGUUUCAGCACUCUAGGUUCUAUGUUCAGGUCACUUAACCUAGUUACAAUUGCUAGGUUCUUGUCCUCCUUGCCUAGAUGUCCAUCUCUAGGUUUACUAGUUCGACCUAGUUUGGUGAUGAUCUAAUAAACCAUGUAUACAUUUUUGGAAAGGAUGUAAAUGUAACUCGAGGUAAAUGAAUGCAAUGGAUGUAAUAGCUAGUAGAUCUCUCUUUGUUCACUUGUAUGCACUUAUGGAUUCUUGCUCUUAGUAUGUUGGCACUGUUUGUGCCUCUGUCGAUUGUGUAUGUUUAGAAUUUCAUUCCUGGGUGAAUUCUUGUACACGAUCUGAUUGUUUAGCCUUGGGCGGACAGGGGAGGUGCUGUCCGUUCGGCGUCUAUUCGACGCGCCCGAACCGGACCAAAUUGGUAGCGGUCGCGGGGCGUGACAAGAAUGGUGGAUCGGCAUGGUAGAGAUAGAGAGAUAAGGAGAAGCUGGAACAGCAGAGGAAAUAGAAACACUAGUGUCACGCCCCUCGACCGCCAAUUUGGUUGGUCUGGGUACGUCCACAGACGCGAAAUGGACAGAACCUCCCCUGUACGCCCAAGUCUCCACCCAACAUGUAUAGCAAUUCAACAAUGAUAGAAUUUGCGUAUAUAUGGCUUGCACGAGGGCAAGCGACAACCACAACAAGUGAAAGCACUACUACUAUUCCAUUCAUACAUGUAUCUUGAUUACAUUUAACCAAAUACAAGCUUUCCACAUAUUACAUUCUUUUUCAUAUUUACAUCACAUGUCUCUCAACAAAAUAUAUGAAUUUACAUCAUUUAUACAUAACCAUUUUCAUCAUAAACAAAAGAUGAAUAUAAACAGGGUACAAAACUAAACCCGGGUAGCCGCUAUCUAGGGCGCGAUGCCCUUACCGCGAUCCUCGGCCGCCCUGCUUGUGCUAGGAUCUGCAAAGUUAGUGGUGUGAGAACUAAUGAAAGUUUUCAGCAGGUUCGGCCGCCGACCCCGCCGACUCGCCUACUAGGUCUACUUAGGCAUAUGUAGAAAAAGGAUAGAUAGAUAGCAAACCAAACUAAUGCUACUACAAUGCCUGAACAAGAACUAAAUCAACAAGUAAUAUGCUCAUGCUGCAUGCAUUUCACCUUUACUUUUGCCAUUACCCAAUCUGCUUGGUUAACUCAUGGUUAACCUCAACUCACCAACCAAAUCUCAUUCUAUCGGGGAGAAUUCCGUUACAACCCGACGGACCGUCUAUUGGAGAGAAUUCCGCUACAACCCAGUCGAUGACCACUGCGAAGCUCACUGCUUGAGGGGGAGCUACCAUCCUCAAGCAUAUAGACCAACUGUGAGUAUAAUCCAAUCCUCAACUUUGAGGAUACCUUGCUAGUAUUGCCACAAUGCUUAUAAGGUUCUACCUUGUCUAGCAUACCAUGUUCCAGGUGCUAAUCAUACCCGCUAAUGUCAAUGUCACCUUUGUUUACUAAUGUCAUAGUCCAACAUCCAAUUCAUACAUUUAUAGAGUUUCUAUAUGCAUGGUCCAUUAUCAAUUCAUAUGUUCAUUUAGCAUACAAGAGAUUCCCAACCAUAGUUACAUAUCCCAAUAACCCUACCAUGCAUGAAUGCCACAAAUACAUAUAUAUGCUCAAGAAAGGUAACAUAGACAUAAUGAGAAUUCGAUGAUUUCGGAUAGCACCCCCCACCUCGUAGGUGUUAGAUGUAUGCCCUAGAAGCCAACCAGGCCGACACAUAUAUUUUUUCUAGGACAUAAAUUUGUAUUUGAUUUUAAAAUAUUAUGAAUAAAUUUGGGUCCUUAAUUCCAUUCAUGUUGUGUAUAUGUCCAUGAAUCGUCUAAGGAGUUAACAAGAUGAUGACAUAUAUUCUCAAGAGUUGAGAAUUUGAGACAUGUGUCAUUGGUGGUUAAUUCCUAAAUGCUCCCGAUCAAUGGAUCAUCAUGGGAACGGUGAUUGAUCCAGUGAGAUUGGUGCAUAGGUCGCUUCCCUUUUGGGUAGACGGGUCUCGAGUCGACAAUGUGGGGACACUGAAGUGAAUAUGCAAGUGGUUGUUAGAGAACAAGGGUACCGAUUGUGACCAACGCGAGAAGUCACUUGGAUGUCUACUCACUCAUCAGUGACUUACUCAAUGUUGCAGUAGUGUGACUGGUCCUUUGACCUGCGGUGCCUCGGCUAUUCACAAUGAGGUUACUGUAGUUUGACUGUACAUACACUUGGUCCCUAGCCAUUCGGGUCCUUGCGGUGCAUGUUGACUGCAGUAGGUUUAUUGUAAGAAUAGGGUGCGCACUUAGAUGGAAUCUAUCUCCCUUGGUAGAUAGGGGUGUUAGUCCUAUGUGAUUUAUUAGACCGAGUUUAGAAGACCUUGGCCAGGGCAGAGUUAAAAGCGGAAAAAGGUUUCCAAUAUUACAAACUCGAGUCGAAUAAAUUUAACAUAUGACAGACGAUGGGGUUUGACGAGUUAUUCCAUAACCUCCGUCUAGUCGGGACUCAUGAUAGAAGGAUUAUAUCACACGGUAACUGCACCAAGAGGUUCAGUAUUUUAUUCUACUGGAAUGCCACUACAUGCUGUUAGGCGUCACUGGUGAAUUGUGAGACUCAUGAGAAUUUUCUAGAUGAUCGAUAAUUCUCAUUGGGCUAAGUUGGAAUUGUUCCGAUCCACUAAAAGGAGUUUCAGUGAUAUUGUUAAUAGUGAUCAAAAUAUAUCUUACUACCAGAUAGAAUAGAACCUAUGGGGUCACACACAUAAGAGGUUGUGAUUGAUUGGAUAGCUAGAUCGCGAUUAUUGAAUCGUCGGAGGACCUAAUUGUCAAUAUGUUGAUAAUUGGACUAAUUUGUAAUUAUUACAAAUUAGUGGUAUUAAGGUGUAAAUAUUACUAGAGAGGACUUACUAAUAGUUAGCAAAUUAUAAAAGGACUUUAUGUGCAAAUGUUGCGUUAUUAAUUUGAUAUUAUCAAAUUAAUAAAAAGUUCAAGUCGAAUCAAAUUAGGAUUUGAUCGAUUUAACGAAUUAAGAAAAGGAUAAAUUUAAAUUUAGAUUUGUACUUAUCCUUAAUGGUUAUUAUAUUAUUAAUAAGAGGAUUAUAUUCUUCUAUAUAAUAAUAUGGGAGUUUUUAGAAAACCCUAGCCAUCAUCUCUCAUCUCCUUUCUCUUCCAUAUUCUAGCAAGAAAGACGUCCUUUUGCAAGGGAGCUAGCACCUCAGUAAGGAUAUCGAUCAAAUCAAGAACCUCGUGUGGAUACCUAUAGAGGCCGGACGCGUGUACAGCUUCAAGAGAACCCAAUUCCACGCACGAUCAUCAAGUUGAGGAGAAGAUUUAUCCGCGAAAAAGGUAAAGAUUCGAUCUUGCUUUUCUCCUUUAAUCUUAAAGAACAUGAGGGAUCCUAAUUGCGUGGUUUUUGAUAUUGGAUCUCGAGAGUUUUCAAAAUCAAAUUUGUUUGAUUUCCUUUUUCCGCUACGUUUUUACCGUACGCAAUUUUCUAACAGUAGGAAUGCCAGAAGGCUGCAACUCAAGUCUCGUAAUUUAUGGCCGCCUAUUUUCCUCGACCCACGGCAAACGAAGCCAAAAUGGGAUUUUUCCCCAAUAUCUCGACGUAGAUUCGUCGAAAUUCCAAACCGAGUCUCCCAACGCGUUGGUUUAUCCACCAAUUGGGGCUACAAGAGAUCAACCCUAAGUUAGAUCUCAUAUUUAACAAAACCCUAAAUUUGACCCUAAGGUUUCCAUCAUUACCAAACACCCCAAAUCUCUUGGAGAUUCAUGAAUAAAUCCACUACAAUAUCUUCUAAAUACAACAAUUAGAAGGGAUUAACCAAAACCCUAGCUUACAACUAUAAGAACUCAUCUCAAGUUCUAGCUUUCUCCUCCACUCAAGCACAAGAGCUAGCUUCACCCCUAAGCAAGCUUCUUCUCCACCAAUCUCCUCUUUUGGAGCAAACCCUAGUGAGAGAAGGAGAGAAAGGGAGAGAGAGUGGAGAAACUUAGAAAAAGAAAGAGCUUUUCUCUUUUGUUGGUGGUGCGAGGGAAAUGAGGGUUAAACACAUGAGAACCCAUAUAUAAACACUUCCCACAUGCACAAUUACACUUAGCCCCCUCACACAACAGAGUUGAACCAACUAUGUGGUUUGUCGCGUACGAGGUCCGGGCCUUGCACUCAGGGUCCGAACCCCGAGAGCAUUUCCAGCACGAAAAGAGCUGAAAUUUUUCCAGCUUGCUCUUCAUGGUCCAAACCACUUAUCUAAUGUAUUCCGAAGCACUCGGAAUAAUUAAUGGACCUCACCAUCUCGUCCACUACCACACUUUAGUCAAUUUGACGGAAGUUCGGUAUAACUCGUCGGGGAUUCGGUAUGUUCCAACUAGAGCCCUAAAUGGAGUCAAUCCGUAUUAACGAGCGAAAAGACGCUUAUGAAAAUAUGUCAUUUAAUGAAAAACAAAAUAGUAGAGAGCCCCAUAGCUACGAGAGACAAAACAAUAGGCCCCAUAAUUGGUAGGAUGUGGAGAGCACUUGAAGCCUCUAAAGGAUCCCACUUCAUAAAUUUAUAAAUAAAUUGUAGAAUAUAGUGGAAGUAUUCGUUCGUACCUUUUAGCGGAAGCAACUUGCGUUAGAAUGCGAAGAGCCCAGAUCGUAAAGGUUGAUUCACGUGUCCUCGGAUCGUCCACGAAAAUCUUCUAUUGCUCGAAACUCGCGGUGGAUCGAACUACAAACGAGCACGAUCUCCAAUCCACCGUUCAACACCCUGUAAAAUAAUAGGUUAAUGGAGGAUGUGAUUUCUGCCUUUCUCUCUUGAUUUUCUUGUUGUCUUUCUUAUGUGAAAUUGUCUGUAUAUUUAUAAGGAAUUCCAAAAUCCUAAUAGGUACGUAAGAGAUAUAAGGUCAAAUCGGUUUAUAAUUGUUAUCCUAAUAUGAUUAGAAUUUAUCUCUAAUUAGCUUUCCAAUUUAAAAGCGUGAUUAAUCCUAAUCCAAUUAGAAAACGUAAUAACCGUUGGAUCGAGCCCAAUUAUGGGCGCACCCGAUUCGAUUUAACCGAAUGCCAACAUAAAUAAUAUAAGGGUGCGUUUGGUUCGAGUUAUCCUGGUAGGAUUACAGGCAAUCCUGUCAGGAUUACUGUGUUUGGUUCAUCCACUAUGCAAUCUAGUCGUUAAUGUAGCAUUACAAAUCGAGCAAUAUUGCACCGAAAAUAUUAACGAGAGGGAGGUCGUGUAUCUUGCAUUACUGAAAAUCGGUAAUACUACAUAUUAUGUAAAAUGACAAUUUUACCCCCUCUAACUCCCGAAACUCUUUCAAUACGUCAUUUAAAAAAAUUUAAUUUUAAAUUUUNGCUUGAUUUGUAUAGGCCAACAUAAAAUGGCACCUAAAUCGAUAUGGGUCAGUAACAAGUGAUAUUACAGUUCAUGAGCUGAUACGCUUGUGAGCUACUAGUACAAGACAUACUAUGUAGCAACCAACUGGCAAGUUAUGUGUCACCUACCUAGACUCACAUAAAGAUCCUUAUCGGUAAGAGAUGUUGGUUCCUUGAUAGUUAUUCAUUUCUCCUACACUCAAAUGUGCUUGUUAUUUUACUGAAAACUUUGAUGUCAUGUAUUGAUUUUCAUAGACGGGUUGUUCCCUCUUAUCUUGUUAACAUGUUUCUUCCAAUGUAAUUUGGAGCAAAUAGUGUAACACCCCAAUAGUCCCACAUCGGAUGGGAAUGAGGUUGUCAUUGGGUUUAUAAGAGACUUAGACACCAGUAAUAAUAACUGGACUUAAGCAUUUUGGGCCGGUGGUUUGGGCCCAACGAGUUAUUGCUGCUAGCGGGUCGGGUCGUUACAUUUGGUAUCAGAGCCGGUUCACCAGCUGGACAUGUGUGGCGAGUCUCGGCUGAGCCAGGGUCUAGAUGACGGGCUAGCGAGACGAGUCUCAUAUCGCCUAGUGAUCUUGGGCUGUGUGUGAUCGGACUGACGAGGACGUCAGGGCCUUAAUAGGCGGAGUCUAUGACACCCCAAUAGUCCCACAUCGGAUGGGAAUGGGGUUGUCAUUGGGUUUAUAAGGGACUUAGACACUAGUAAUAAUAACUGGGCUUAAGCAUUUUGGGCCGGUGGUUGGGCCCAACGAGUCGUUGUUGCUAGUGGGCUGGGUCGUUACAUUAUGUUAUCGCCCGAUUUACAUAAAAUAUUGGGAUUUCAUGUAAAUAUAGGGGCUUUUGUGCAAUUGUGCGCCUUGUGGCUACUGUGGGUAGUGUAUACGUGUGUGUGGGUGCUUCGAGCUGGUAGUCGGUGAGAGCGUUUCACCUCCUUCUAUUUUUCUAUUCCAGCAUUAUAGUCUCUACAUGUCAUUGUUUGUUUAUUGUUUGGUUAUCUUAUCUCGUUGAUUGCAUUUGGAUAGUUGUGGAUAGACAUGUAGAGCAGGCUUGCAUUUGUACUUUGCAUCUCUGUGGACCUUGGGUCCAGGCAACACAUCGACUCUCUUGUCAUGUGUUUCGAUCUGGUUGAUCGUGGCUCGGCAUUGUACGCCUUUGUUUCUGGCUUCGUUCUAGGCACCGGCUUUAGCCGGUUUUUGUUUGAGCAUACUAGCAUGACUUAGUCACAACACUUGGGGGUAUUCAUGACACCGGAUCGGUUUGGCCACCGAUCGGAGGUGUACUUAUCCGGAUGGGUCGUCCUGUGGGGCGGAUGGAUCAGGUCGGUGCAGAUAGUGACAGGCAGCGCUUGAGGUCUACGGACCAAUAUAGCAGGCACAAAUUGGGCUUAAGCAUUUUUGGGCCGGUGAUUUAGGCCCAAUGAGUUAUUAUUGCUAGCGGGUCGGGUCGUUACAUUUGGUAUCAGAGCCGGUUCACCGGCUGGACAUGUGUGGCGAGUCUCGGCUGAGCCAGGGUCUAGAUGACGGGCUAGCGAGACGAGUCUCACAUCGCCUAGUGAUCUUGGGCUGUGUGUGAUUGGACUGACGAGGACGUCAGGGCCUUAACAGGGGGAGUCUGUGACACCCCAAUAGUCCCACAUCGGAUGGGAAUGGGGUUGUCAUUGGGUUUAUAAGUGACUUAGACACUAGUAAUAAUAACUGGGCUUAAGCAUUUUGGGCCGGUGGUUGGGCCCAACGAGUCGUUGUUGCUAGUGGGCUGAAUGUAACGACCCGACCCGCUAGCAACAAUAACUCGUUGGGCCCAAACCACCGGCCCAAAAUGCUUAAGUCCAGUUAUUAUUACUGGUGUCUAAGUCACUUAUAAACCCAAUGACAACCCCAUUCCCAUCCGAUGUGGGAUUAUUGGGGUGUUACAGACUCCCCCCGUUAGGCCCUGACGUCCUCGUCAGUCCAAUCACACACAUAGCCCAAGAUCACCAGGCGAUGUGAGACUCGUCUCGCUAGCCUGUCAUCCAGACCCUAGCUCAGCCAAGACUCGCCACACAUGUCCAUCUGGUGAACCGGCUCUGAUACCAAAUGUAACGACCCAGCCCACUAGCAACAACGACUCGUUGGGCCCAACCACCGGCCCAAAAUGCUUAAGCCCAGUUAUUAUUACUAGUGUCUAAGUCACUUAUAAACCUAAUGACAACCCCAUUCCCAUCCGAUGUGGAACUAUUGGGGUGUCACAAAAAUAUUAUUUGUAAAUAGUAAAAAAAAUAGUUUACAAAAUAUGGUGAAGGGACAUUUUGGAAUAGACUAUAUUUUAUUGUCUAGAUUACUAAAUUUUAUAGACAGAACUACACAUAGUAACGCUAUAAAGACUGCAAUCCAGUAUUACAUUAUUAUAUUAAACCAAACAAACUAAUGCAGUUGUAACAUACCAGAUUUUGGUAUAAAAAUAAAAAUAAAUAAAAAUAGUGUGAGAAACUAUUUUUAUUGAAUUUGUGGAAGUAAAACAUAAGUCAGAAGUGACUUGUGCCGAAAUCGGAAUGAAAACAGAAAAUCUAGAAUUAUCUGUUGGAAACGGGACAGAUAAAUUAGCAGAAAAUGCACAGUCUCAGAAAAUUAUGAAAAUUGGAGGAUUAGUCAGAAAUAUUUUUAUGAGGCUAGUUUUAAAGUUUCAUAUUUUUCUGACACCCGUAGAGUGAGAAAUAAAAUCCGAAAGCUAUCUGAUAAAGAUUGCAGUUCGGUACAGUUUUCAGUGACCAAACGGAGUCGAAAUUGAACCAGUGAUCGUCAGCUUGUUAAGUUAAGUAAAACCGAACAUGACUGUCAAGUUUGAGCUCAAACGGACAUUCAGGGAGCUCCGCCGCGAAAGUUAUCAAAUUUUAAGCUGCCCGCUGGAUGAAUAGUGUUUUUGGGCCGUGUAUUAUGAGAAGCAAAAUGCUUUUCUUUCUCCCCACCGUUGAGCCCACGCACACAUUGCGACACACACCACACGCAACAUGAGGAGGAGAGAGAGAUCUUACCCUUUCUCUCUCUAAAUCAUUCCAAAAGAGGGGUUUUGGGGAGCUGAAGUCUUUCUGAGGAUGGAUUUUCAUCUUCUCUAUCUUCUUCCUCUCCCCAUAGAGCAAGCUUGAAGGUAAGCUUCAAACCUUAAUGGCAUUUCUCUCUAGUUUGGUUUUUAAGCUCUAAGAAUGGGAUUUAGAGUAUUUAGCAUGCUAAUUUAGAGGCUUUGAUACUUUGAAAUCAAGGCUCUAAUGUGGCAUUUUUACACUGUUGUUAAACCUAGGGCCUCAAAAUGCUUAACUUUUCAAAAUCAUGAGGCGUUUGAUCUCCAUUUGACCUUCGUAACUAAUUGCUAGGUAAACGAACGCUGUUGGCGAAGACGGUUCGGCGAUAUUCGUCGGAGGGCCGUUGCGAAUUUAUUACAGAAACGGAUGUUUAGGCUUCUGUUUUUCGCCUGGAGCUGCCAGGCGAUAUCGUAAAUUCAAUGAAAACGGAUUUGAGGCAUUCGUGGCACAUAACGAACGACUUAAUUUUCGGAUCUUGAAUGGGAGGCCGUUCGCGUGCGUCGCGCAGAGAUCGGGCCAACGGGUGCCGGGUGCCGGCGGGAGGCCGAUUGCGGUUCGACAAGCAAUCCGGGAAUGCGAAAUGGAGGUGGGUUGGUGCUUACCCGAAGCGACACUGGUCGCGCCUUUAUGUUUCUAAGAAAUGAGAUUUCUAUGACAUGAUAUUGACAAAUAUAAGAAUUUGUUGAAAAGAAUGCAAUGUUAAACAUACUAUAGAAUAUGCUAAUGUAAUGAUUAAUGAAUUAAGUGCUAAUAAGAAUGCAUGAGAUGCCUAGUAUGGACUUUUUUGGAUAAUUGGACUAUAUUUGUAUGUUGACAAAUCCAUGUCGAUGCUAGUGGAUAUGUGUCAUGGUGAUUAUUAUGAAUUUACAUGUGGAUUAUGUUAAAUAGAAAAACAUACUUGAUGACAUAUUGCCAUUGUUGUGGAACAAGUGGACAAUCUAUUAUAUAUAUUAGACUCGAGUGGCAUAAAGCUUAGCAUCUAUGAACCUAGCAAACACUUGUGGUGUAUUCAUCAUUAUUCUGAGUGUCAUUCAUGUAUGUUUUAGACCCUUUAUUGUGUAAAUGUGAGAGUUGGACUUGAACAUUAGUAAACAAGGGUGACAGUGACAACUAGAGACAUGAUUGGCAUCAAGAAUGAUUGUUAACAUAGUUUACACCAUAUUGACAUUGUCCAAAGAUUGACAUUAGAGAGUUGGCAUUGGAUUAAAUAGUAGAGACCUAUCAUGCAUUGGCUUGCUGACCGACGUGGCUAUGAAAUCCUUCAAGUUGGAGGAUUGGCAUCGCAAGACUUGCACGUUACGUUUUAGGGCUUUGAGGGAGGUUUAGCUCCCCUCGGGCGGUGCGCUCCGGAGUUGGUCACGCACUGGCGUGCGUAAAGUCCACCAAGAUGAACCGGUCCCCAGGGGGGUUCGGAGUCCCCCGUUAUUAAGGGAUUUUGGUAGUGAGUUAUUGGGGGUUAACAUUGUUAACCGGUAAGAUGGUUUUCAUAGCCAAAUGAUGUGAUACAACAAUAUGCAUUAUGAGUUAUGGGAUUUGGUAUCCUGUCGAGAUUAGGCGGGCUUGAGGGUGUAUGUGAGACGUCCAUCGCUCUGGCCUGGUUCUGGUGCGGUACUCCGCAGACGAUUGGGACUCAAGACGAGCGGGUGGUUAGAUUUUAUUUAAAGCUCUUGUAAGUAGAUGAAAACUUCUAUGAUUAAAGCGGCUGAUUGACAAGAAUUUAAGAUAAGGAACCUUAGAUAUCGAAUGGGUGAGCUAUGUGUUAGCAGAAUUGAAAGUUAGAUGUCAAAUGACAAUACUAGUUGGAUUGCAAUAGUUGCAUUAUUGCAUGAAUCUGAUAUAGCAUUGAAUUAUUAGCAUUGUGAGGCAAAGCAUGAUUUUCCAGUUGCCGUAUCAAGCAUAAGUAUAAUCUAUCUGUUUUAUUGAACUAACUUGCCAAGUUGCCUCCUGGAACUAUUCGGUCAAGAGCUCUUCCUUGGAGGUGGCACGUACCCACUGGGAAACCAUUGGAGUUUAGGUUUCACCCCACGUGGGUUUUGGGGCUUAUAUUACAGGGUUCUGCACCCCGUGAGCGGCGCGGCGGCGCGAGGGCAGAGGCGUAGCUCCAUAGUUACCCGCAUAAACCCUACCACGCGAGACCCAGAGAAGUGGUUACCCUAAGUCCGGCCUUACUCUAGCGGGAAUGUAAAGACAUGAAUAGAAUCAAGUUGUAAUAAUGAAUAUUAAAAUCGGAUUGUAUUUGAGAAGAUUAAUGUAAAUAAAGUACUUGACGAUGUAAUGUAAUGAAUAUGAUGAAUUGUAAUAACAUAGAUGUGUUCUAUGUUGAUUUGUUGAUACCUUUCCAUUGGAUGCAAUCUUUGAAUUUGAAAUGUGUUAAUGGUUGAACAUUCACACAUUGUAAUGAUUGCCUAUGCCUUGAAACGUACAGGGGCAGACUCUGCCGCUAGUUACAGGGGACAAAACCCUGUUAACACAUGCAGACUUUUGACAAAUUGCGACGGUUCGAGUGUUAUGAUGUGUUUCAAGCUUUUUCCACACUUGGUGCGAGGGGUCGUAGUAAUGUUCCCGACCCGAAAAGUUCAAACCCUGGAACUUCUGACUAAGUCCCUGAGAGUUUUUUUUACUUCGGGACCGGUCCCUGGAAGGAGAGACCGUUUCCCAAUGUGAGCAGAAUUGCAGCAGGCAAGCCUGAGCAACCGGGUCCUGGCAGGCGAGACCGGUUUUCCCGAACGCGGUCUUCGCAGUACGUUACCGAUUCCGGCGCACGGGAGAGACCAGGUCCGAACGCUUUGGUUUCGGUCGCCGCAAGCGAGAGACGGUUCACUGCUGGGGAGAGACCGGUUCCCUCUGGGCGAAAAACUAGCUCCAGUUCGGAGUGAGUAAUAUUGGGUUUUUGAAGGGGGGCCUCUUGGGAUUUUGUUGAACUAGAUCGGCUUAUUGCCAUAUUCACUCCCUUUCCUCACUCAUUUCCUGCACCACAUAACCUUCUAGCGAGAGAAGAAAGAAGUAAGAGAGAAGGAGAAGAAGGAGGAGAAAGAAGAAGCAGAUUUAUGCUUGAGGGAGCAUUGGAGCUCAACCCAUUUCUCUCUUUUCCCACUUUGCAGCGCUUGGAGCUUGACUUGUAAGAGUUGGUGGUGGGCCAAAUCUUCAACCAUAGGAGAUUUGGGGCAUUACUUGGAGGCAAUACUUGGCAGAUGUUAGUACUUGGAUUUAUCGAUUUGAUCCUAGAUUUGGUUAGGGUUUUUUACCAUAUUGAACCCUAGUUUUUAGAAGAUUUAUGGCUGAUUUGAUUUUGGCGGGCUUUUUAUCUAGGGUUUUUGGGGCUAGAUUGAUUGAUUUGACCUUCCUUUGGCGCUUGGAUUUGCGAAAGGUCAUCUAGCCUCUCUUUUUGAAGCUAUUAGAGAGAUUUACUUCUCUUUGAGGAUUCCAAUUUUGGGCCUUUUUGCUUCAUAGAGUUAAGUUUGAUCUUAGCGGAUGGCUCAGUAAUGCCUCGUAUCUUCUUCGCCUGAUCACUUUUAGGGCAUCUUGAGGCUCAGUGCGACAAAUCCGUUCGGCGAGAUCGAAGAUGCGCACGCUACGGUUCGGUGGGCUUUGCCUAGGCAUUACAACAUGAGAAAUGCUUCAUAUUUGGUGUUAAUGCUUCUUAAGUUGAAAUUAUUGCAUUUUCAUGUUAAUAUAUUUAUUUACAUGAAUUUGAGAAUGCUUAACAUGCUACUAGGGGUUAUGUGUAGUAAAUUUGGGACCUCCCAUAUAGUAGAGCAGCUGCAUGGGCUGGGCUAGCAUUCUAGUUGCCGAUUUGAAAUUAUUAAUCACCUAUUAUGAAAACGAACCUUGCUUUCAUGAUUCAAACCAUAUACCAGAUUGUGCAUUCGGGAUUUUGAAAGCCUAGAGAGGCUUACGGACUUAGGAUGAUAUGUGAGAUUGCGGCCACAUGUCAUAAAGAGGCAUGGGCGCCCGGGGCAUAGUGAAGCAUUAAUGUUAACGGUCUUAACUUGAACAUGAUUCAGUUGUGGAGCUUACAGUGUCUAAAGAGGAACUACAGCAUAUGUGUUGUUGCGGACUUCACAUUAUACUGGCAACUAGAUUCUUCGGGAUACUGGUGACUAUACCAUGUUAGAGACGUGAGGAUUGGGUACGUGAGACCGUGACCUUGCUUGUUUGCCAUUGUGCUCAUUCGCACAUGCUUGUGAGGGUCGCUCCCCGCAAGCCGGCACUCCGGAGUUGGCCUAUGCGAUUUUUGUUCGCUCGUGCGGUAUUGAGAAGCCUACGGGGUCGAGUGGGACAGACACAUUCCAAGAGUAGGGAUGUUGGGCUACCACAGGCACUUAGGCGGCACAAGCUGGACUACCUUGGGUAGGUCCUUAUAUUGGAAAUGGAAAUCGAUACGGUGUUGAAUAUGAACAAUCACUACUAGAUAGGAUUAGCAGUUGGAUUACAUGGACACGCUUAUGAUGUAGCAUUGAUACACUUAGUAUACUUGCCGGUUUCAUUAUUGCAUCAUAGUAUACUCGGUUAUUCGGAUAGGGUUUACUCUUGUGCCUUGACAUAUUGCAUCAUGAGGUUUACUUGUGUUUUAUGUUAAGACAUAGUAGCAUAGCAUUUCAAUCAUGUUUCCUUUCAGCAGUAUUCAUGUUCGCUACUUAUCGCAUAUUACUAUAUGUCAUUAUUUACCCUUUUCUUUUGGGGCCUAGUGGUGCAUUGAGCUGAGGUCAGUAAUUGCCCACUGGGAACUAUAAAUUAUAGUUCUCACGCCCUCUUUUUCUCGAUGUUUUUCAGAGCCUUCCUCUCAGGGUGAGGCCAGGGACCGCGGGAAGGGAGUUGCUUCGAGCUAGCUUCCCUUGAGGACGAUUCGCUAGGUGGUCUACCUCUCGUUGUAUUUUAUUUUGGAGAGGUUGAGAGUUGUACCCGUACAUGCUUAGAGACCACCAUUUUUGUACUAGAGAUUGUUACUGUACUACUUACAUUUCACUUUUAUGGUUUAGUUAUGCUCUUUUCUUUUUUUUAUAUAGAAGAUAGAAUCAUACUGCUCUGAUAUCACAGUUUGUUGCUCAUUCGUUUUCUAUUACUUCUUGCUUUUACUUCCGCUUUUAUUGUAGACGCCUUAUAUGUGUAGACAUAUGGCGGGUCUGGGCACGCUACCGGGAGGGCCUCCGCCGGUCCCGGGGCGUGACACCCUGUCCGUUCGGCGAUUUGUUGCGGCGCCACGACCCGGCCAAAUAGGCGGGCGGUCGCGGGGCGUGACAGAUAAGAUGGUAUCAGAGCAUAAAAAGAACAUAAAAAGAAUAAUAGAAAAUGGUUUAGUUGGACCUAGGAGACCCUAGGAUAGUAAACCAUAGGAGAUUAAGGCUCGUGAGAGACGAGGACUUGUUUCUUUUGGCGAAAGGUUAAUUGAUUGGGUUGUGUCGUAAACCUCUAAAACGGAUGUUAGAGGUAGACUCAAGGUGUUGUUUGUUCUCAACAGAGGGUGUUCAUGUUGGGUGCACACAACAUGAAGCCGAGUGAUGAGAGUAGACGCCUUUGCGUGACUUUCGCCCGAUUUGAGUCGGUAUUAAGUGUUUCGUGUUCGACCUAGAAGGUCGAGGAUUAAU
rnacentral:lncRNA from 1 species